GGAAGCUCAACCUGCGGAUCAGGAAACACUCUAGCGUGAGAUCCCUGGGAUCCAUAAGGACAUGGAUGUGGCCUUGGUCCCCCGACUGGUGGUAAGAGGGGUCCCUGAAGAGGUGUGACUCCUCCUAUAGCUGGCCAGUCAACGUGGGCCGGAAGAUGGGUCCUAACAGGGUUCAGCAUCUCCAUCUCUCCAUACCCUGUCUGGACUACCGGUGCCAGCUGCGUCAAAGCUGUCCACAGACGGGCACGGGUAGCAUAAAGCUCCAUGCGGAGAGCACGAGCAUCCUUGUCUCUGUUCUCUAGCAUCUCAACAGUGGACUGCAGAAGUGGAUCCUCCAUAGAAGAAUCAAAAUAGACUCCACUGAGGUAUCCCUCUUCACCGGACUGAGAGGCCGGAACAUAGCAGAACUCUGAAUUCUGCAGCAGUGCAUGUCUCGCUCUCAUAAUAGUCAGCAUUGAAUAGGCAGCAUCUUGUACUGCCAUAUCAACAGUGACUCCCAACCCAUAGGACCAAUGGAUUGGCUUCUCCGCUCCAGGGUAGUCUGGAAAUGCCCUAACAGUGCAGAUGUACUGGCUCUGGUUGAAGUCUCGGUACUGUUCCUCCACUGUGUACUCGGGGUACCAGCGGUAACCGCACACCGACAUCAUCCUGACCAGCAUGGCCGUAUGACCCGGUACAUCAAUGCACCUGGUCAGACGUACCACCUGACGAGAAGGACGGCCAGGCAUCUGUAAAUAGAGAGUAAUGCAAAAAGCAUUAGAGCUCUGAAUGCAAAAUUGGGCAGCAUAACGGCUGUAAAUGCUCAAAACAAAUUUUGAGACAACCCAAAAUGAAAUAGCGUCACCACUCAACUAUCAAGUUCAACUCUCUGAUCAUCAAACUUACUUCCUGCUUCCUAGGAAUAAAAGAAACCCAAUAUCUCUCGACCCGUAGUCCUAUAAUCUACCGAUCAAAAAACCGAGCCUAGGAGAAGAUGAGUAAACUAGUCCUUAAUUCCCGCAGAAAAGACGAGGAUGACCAGAAUAGAAUAUCUUGAGAAGAGAACAAGAGUGUUACGUUCCCUUCCACAAACAAUUCCCUUAUAUAUAACUAAAGCAAUUCUAGACUCAACUUCGACCAGUUUGGCUUAGUAAUCCUACAGUCAGUCAGGCUCUGAUACCAACGCUGUCGGGACCCCGAUCCUAAGCCAUAGGAAUCCAGCCUGUAACACAUCGCAUCCCUUUGUGGUCUCACGCACGGUUAACUCCACGGCUGCAGCCUUACCUUAGCCGGGACCGUUUGCGUCUUUUGACUCACGUAUGCGAUAGAGUCGCUAGCAAUCCAAUGUCAAAGAACCCGGAUCAACAUGUCUAGUCAUAAACCAAAGUGGCAGUUCCGCACAAGGACAGACAUACAUGACCCAACAAAGCAGGUGUCGGUCAUCAACGAACGUAGACGAGUCGUAGCAAGCUACAAGGACUCCAUUACGUCGCUUGACAUUUCCCCAAAGGGGACAGACACAGCAGCUANNNNNNNNNNNNNNNNNNNNNNNNNNNNNNNNNNNNNNNNNNNNNNNNNNNNNNNNNNNNNNNNNNNNNNNNNNNNNNNNNNNNNNNNNNNNNNNNNNNNAUUUUAACAUGUAUAAAUAUCAGAAAAGAAAAAAAAAUCUAAUAUUCAUAGUAGUGGCGCACCUACAGAUGGUGCGUCAUUAGUAUCUGAGAUAGUAAUGGCGCACCAGGUGGUGCGCCAUUAUUGUCUUGGAUAGUAAUGGCGCACCAGGUGGUGUGCCACUGUUAUGUAUAUUAACAGUGGCGCACCAGGGGUGCACCAUUACUAUUUAUUAGUAGUGGCGUGAUAAUAAUGGCGCACCCAUAGUGCGCCAUUAAUAGCUAAAGUGGGUGCGCCACUAAUAGGCCUUUUCUAAUAGUGUGAGUUAGACAUAGUUGCAACAACAAGAUCAAACAGAGUUCGUCAAAGUUUUUCUUUUGUCUCUUUCAGUUUGUCAACUGAAUUGCUUGAGGACAAGCAAGGCUUUAAGCUUGGGGGAGUUGAUACGUCUCCACGUAUCUACUUUUCUGAACUCUUUUGCCCUUGUUUUGGACUCUAAUUUGCAUGAUUUGAAUGGAACUAACCCGGACUACCGUUGUUUUCAGCAGAAUUGCCAUGGUGUUGUUUUUGAGAUGAAAUAAAAGUUCUCGGGAUGACCUGAAAAUUUACUGAGAAUUUUUCUGGAAUUUAUGAAAAAUACUGGCGCAAGAAUUAGCAGAGGAAGUGGAGCGUGGAGCCCACAAGCCCACCAGGCGCCCCCUGGCCGCGCCUGGCAGGCUUGUGGGGCCCACAAUGCUCCACCGCCUCCAAUCUCAGCUCUAUUUAGUCCGUCUCACCCGGAAAAAAAAUCAAGGAGAAGAGUUCAUCGUGUUUUACGAUGCGGAGGCGCCGCCACCUCCUGUUCUUCAUCUCGAGGGCACAUCUGGAGUCCGUUCUGGGCACCACACAAGGGAGAUCGUCGCCAUCGUCAUCACCAACCUUCCAUGAUGCUCUUCACCGUUCAUGAGUAAUCUCGUCGUAGGCUUGCUAGACGGUGAUGGGUUGGAUGAGAUCUAUCAUGUAAUCGAGUUAGUUUUGACGGGGAUUGAUCCCUAGUAUCCACUAUGUUCUGAGAUUGAUGUUGCUACUACUUUGCCAUGCUUAAUGCUUGUCACUGGGGCCCGAGUGCCAUGAUUUCAGAUCUGAAACUAUUAUGUUCUCGUCAAUAUAUGUGUGUUCUUGAUCCUAUCUUGCAAGUUGUAGUCACCUACUAUGUGUUAUGACCCGGCAACCCCGGAGUGACAGUAGCCGGAACCACUCCCGGAGAUGACCAUAGUAUGAGGAGUUCAUGUAUUCACUAAGUGCUAAUGCUUUGUUCCGGUUCUCUAUUAAAAGGAGAACCUUAAUAUCCCGUAGUUUCCAUUAGGACCCCGCUGCCACGGGAGGGAUGGACAAUAGAUGUCAUGCAAGUUCUUUUCAUAAAGCACGUAUGACUAUAUACAAAAUGCAUGCCUAUAUUACAUUGACGAACUGGAGCUAGUUACAUAUCUCCCCAUGUUAUAACUUAUACAUGAUGAAUGUCAUCCGGCAUAAUUAUGCAUCACCGAUACAAUGCCUAUGAGAUUUUCCUACUGGUCCUUGCUACGUUACUUUGCCGCUACUGCUGUCACUACUGCUACUGUUACUACUACUGAUGUCACUGCUGCUACUGUUACUACUACUUCUGUCACUGCUGUUACUAUUACUACUACUGCUGUCACUACUGCUACUGUUACCGUUGCUACUAUUGCUAUCACACUACUUUGCUACUCAUACUCUACUGCAGAUACUAAGUCUUUCAGUGUGGUUGAAUUGACAACUCAACUGCUAAUACUCGAGAAUAUUCUUUGGCUUCCCCUUGUGUCGAAUCAACAAAUUUGGGUUGAAUACUCUACCCUCGAAAACUGUUGCGAUCCCCUAUACUUGUGGGUUAUCAAUCCUCUAGUAUAUAUAGGAGGGAGGGAGGAGAGGAGGUAGCCUCAAACCCUCAAGGUUUGGCCAAAAUUGGAGGUGGAGGAGUCCUACUCCAAUCCUACUAGGACUAGGAUUCCUCCUUUCCACUUGGAAACCGUUUUCACCUUUUCCACCUUUGGGUUUUUUGGCCUUAGUGGGAGCUUAUGUCAGCCCUCUACGGGCUCGUUUGUAUCCUCCCACAGCCCAUAAGGCCCCUCGGGGCGUGACACCCCUCCCGAUGGUCCCCGGUACCCUCCCGGCACUCCCUGUACACUACCGAUGAGCCCGAAACUUUUCCGGUGACCAAAACAAGACUUCCUAUAUAUCAAUCUUUACCUCCGGACCAUUCCGGAUCUCCUCGUGACGUCUGGGAUCUCAUCCCGGAGUCCAAAGAACUUUCGGUUACCAACACCUAUAACUCAACUAUACCGAAACGUCACUGAACCUUAAGUGUGCAGACCCUGCGGGUUCAAGAACUAUGCAGACAUGAUGUGGGACACUCUGCGGUCAAUAGCCAAUAGCGGGACCUGGAUGUCCAUAUUGGCUCCCACAUAUUCUAUGAAGAUCUCUAUCGGUUGAACCUCUAUGUCAAGGAUUCAGUUAAUCUCGUAUGUUGUUCUCUUUGUCCUUCGGUAUGUUAGUUGCCCGAAAUUCGAUCGUCGGUAUCUCCAUACCUAGUUCAAUCCCGUUACGGGCAAGUCUCUUUACUCAUUUCAUAAUACAAGAUCUCAUGACUAACUCCUUAGUCACAUUUCUUGCAAGCCUUAUUGUGAUGUUGUACUAUCGAGUGGGCCCCGAGAUACCUCUCCGUCACAUGGAGUGACAAAUCCCAGUCUUGAUCCAUGGCAACCCAACAGACACCUUUGGAGAUACCGGUAGAGCACCUUUAUAGUCACCCAGUUACGUUGCGACGUAUGAUAACCCACAAGGUAUUCCUCCGGUGUCUGGGAGUUGCAUUAUCUCGUGGUCAUAGGAACAGAUAGAUUGACAUGCAGAAAACAAAUAGAAAUAAACUCACAUGAGCAUAUGUUGCGUUUAUAGUUAGGGUCUUGUCCAUCACAUCAUUCUCCUAAUGAUGUGAUCCCGUUAUCACGUGACAACACUUGUCUAUGGCCAGGAAACCUUGACCAUCUUUGAUCAAUGAGCCAAUCAACUAGAGGCUCACUAGGGACAGUGUGUUGUCUAUGUAUCCACACAUGUAUUUGAGUUUCCAAUCAAUACAAUUCUAGCAAGGAUAAUAAACGAUUAUCAUGAACAAGGAAAUACAAUAAGAACCAAUUUAUUAUUGCCUCUAGGGCAAAUUUUCAACACACAUCUCUUUGCGGCCUCAUGCACGGUAAACUCCGCGGCUGCCACAUUACCUUAGCCGGGACCGUUUGCGUCUUUUGGCUCAUGUAUAUGAGUGUGUCGCCAGUAUUCGAACGACAAAGAACUCGGUUCGACAUGACUAGUUAUAAACCCAAGUGGCACAUCCGUACAUGGAUAGGCAUACAUAACCGAGAAAUGCAGGUGUCAGUCAACAGCAUGUGUAGACGAGUCGUAGCAACCUACAAGGACUCCAUUACACCGCGUGACAUUUCCCCGAGGGGACAUACACAGUAGCAAAGAAGGAUACAUGUGGGUCAAUCAAUAUGUCCGGAGCAGUAGCAAGCUACCAAGGCUCGGUGGAAGCACAAAGAGGCAUUUCCCCGUAAAGAGUACUACUAAAGGCACACAACUAGGUGUCGAAUCCCACACAUACCAAUGCAUUUCAAACAUACACACAAUAUGCACGAUAUGUGUAGAUACAACAUGGCAUCACAACAUAACUCUAUGACUCAAGCAUUUAUUAAAGACUCAUAAGGGUCAACAUAGUAUGAUAUUACGAACGGGGGUCACAUGACCCAGCACUCAAGUCAUACAAGCAUCAAGAGGAAGCAUAUCAUGUCCGGGUACAGACAUCUACUAAAACCUGCUAGAAGAGCCUGAAAGGCUACAGUGCCCUACCAGAGGAGCCAGACCACUGUCUGGGAUUCCCAAGCUAUUCCGAUCAACAUCGAUCACAUCGCGUAGAAUCAAUAGUGAGACUAAUGUCUCCUCUGCAAAAACAUAAAUUAAGCAACCUUGAGUACAAAGGUACUCAGCAAGACGUACGUCAGAACUAUCUACAUAUGCAUCAACAUCAAUGAAGGGGUUGUGGAGUUUAAUUGCAACAAGCCAGCUUUGACUCCUGGCUAACCUGUACUACGACUACAAAUUCUUUCUUUGAGGUGGCAUAGCGCACACGAGUCCACAAAUUCACCAAUUCAAUACACCACUAUGGAUCCACUCUCGUCUCCCUACGAGAAGGCCAUCCAUAGCACUCACACUUAUCUUGCAUAUUUAAGAGUAUCCAUUUAAAUUGUCUAUGUACCACGUAAUGUUUCCAAGUAGUCCAUAUCCGAGGACGCGUCUAUUCGAAUAGAUUAAUUCACCCUGGAGGGGGUAUACUUCUUCACAAACACUCUCACCACUUAUCAACAUAUGCACGUCAUGCAUCUCGGCAACCUUCAAGUGGAAGCACUGGCGUGGGCAUCGGCCACGACCAUUAACCACUCAAGACCCUAGUCCAGUUUUAUCGCCUAAUUGAGACUGAACUCGCAAGGAAGUCCAGCCAAAGUUUCCUCUAUGGCCCCAAACGAUGUGCCCAGUGUUCCACAAGCCCACCAUCCGGGUGCCACUUGGCACAUUGUGCCACUGUGUAUCUACCGCACUGAAGCCUACCCCGUCGGGCAGAGCUAAACACGACCGCCAACACUUUUCCUACAAACAUCAGAAACUAGUUGCAACUCCUGGACAGAUAUCUAGGCGAUUAAUAUGGUGAGAGGGGUCGAGUUACCGGAACCCAAUGUGUGGUAGUAUCUUAUCUUGGAUAACAUACACAUAACUCAGUUCUUAUGGACGAUCCCAAUGAGACAACCCGCCAUGUACUUCUACAUGACCUCUCAUCGCUACCUUUACCAAAUUGGAUUCAGACCUUUACUCUCACACUGUAAGACAUGAACACAACCAUUUCGAUUCAUCAUCCAGAUGGAUCAGACCCGACACGACUCUAAGCAUAGCAGGCAUUGUAAGCAAGCAUGGAUGAGUAAGCACAACAAGGCUCAAGCAGUUGCUACUCAUGUUAAGUGGUUUCAACUAUUUACUGUGUCAAAAACAGGUAAUGCAGAGGAAUGGGUUUAUAUCAAUAUGCUCAAGGGGGUUUGCUUGCCUGUGAAAACGUCAACGCGUUACUGCUCCUCAGACGGGUACUCGACCGUACCCUCCGAAACAUUACCUAACACGAAGGAACAACCAUCGAAGGCGGACAAAUCACUACACAUCAGAUGCAACAAUAUGAUGCAUGGGUAUGACAUGGAAAUAUGAUGUGGUUUGUCUUAAUGCACCUAUCAAAGAUUUAAAUGAAGUAGGUUUCAACCCAAGGUUCAAAAUCAACUCCAUAUGUGAGGUUACAUAAUGCAAUUUGAAAAAAUGUCUAAUUUCUCCUAUUUAUGUUGCUCUAUCAUGCACGAAAAUAGUACAAAUAGCUUCUUUGGAUUUUUCUAAUAAUUUUUCAUAUAUAAAUCAUUUCGUUUGGAGUUACUGUUGAAUUUCUAUGGAUAUUUCAAGUUUUUGCAAUUUUUGGAAUUAUUUUAUAACGAGAAAAAGAGUUAUUGCGUCCGCGUGAUGUCACGAUGAAAUCAGCAGGCCAAAGGCGCCAGCCCAGGUCAAACCUGGUGGAUGGGCCCCACAUGUCAAUGACUCAGGCUUAACAGGGUUAUGUUUUAGGUUAAAACUUUGCUUAAUUAGGUGGGGCCCUAUGUGAGUGACCCAAGUGUUAACUAACAAAGGGUUAGUGCUAAAUAACGAGACUGACCGGCAGGAUCCACCGGCCAAUGGCUCAGGCGACGGUGCUCGACGCCGGCGACCUCUGGUAAUGGCGGAGUCCGAGCUAUCGGGCACUGGGGGCAGCACCUGAGGCCACUUGGGCGUAGCCCCUACUCAGCCGCAUCGGAUGGGUGGGUCCUCGGAGGCUCAGAGAUGGCCAAAGACGGCGGCAACGACGCCUGAGGCGGCGGCCGGAGCUCGGCCAGGUCGGGCCUGUUGCUAGGGGCAACGAGGGGGCAACUGUCACAUCCCUAACCCUUAACCAAGAUAGCAUUGUGCUCAUGUCUUCUUUGCAUUUGCAUCCAAGAAGUUUCAACAAAAACAACAAAGUGGCAAAGGAAAAACUCAAAAACCCUAGCCACCAUUUCAAUUAAAGGAAAUUUCAACUAGUUCAAAAUCAAUGAACCCAAAAUGGCCUCAUGAAAUGUUCAAACUUUCUGAUAAACCAUGAAAGUAAAUGAGCAUUAGAGAAAACUAUUUUCUUGAUACUUUAAGCAUUUUUAAAUAAAUGCAAAAGCCACUGGUUUCAAAUUUAAAAAUUUGAAAUCAGAAACUAUAAUUUUCCAAAAAUGUUGAAAGUCUUGGAAAUGAGUGGGGAUAUUAUAACAAAUAUUUCACGAGGUCUAAAAUAGUUAUUACUUUUUGUUUUGGAGUUGAAAUAAUUAGCAAAGCAAUAAAUAGCAAAACAGAAAAACAAAAGCAGAAGAAAAAGGAAAAGAGUUACCUGACGCCCAAGCCAGGCCCAGCCCAUCUCGCCGCUCGUCCCCUUCCCCGCGCCAGUAGGCAGCAGGAGGUGGCCGCCGCCUCCUCCGGCGCGGCCACGCACCUGCGUGCCUGCCUGGCCGCCGGUUCGCGCUGGCGACGACGGGGAUAAGCUCCCCAGAGCUUCCCCUAUCCAUUCCUCGCCUCGAUUCUUCCCCUCCUCCCGGAUCCCCUCCUUCUCCCUGCUGCCGCCAUUAGAGCCGAGCUCGAGCUCGAGCUCGAGCUGGCCGUGCCCCUGGCCAUAAGAACCCCUCCCCGAGCAUGCCAUUAGAUCCGCCUCAUCGCCCUGGUCGUCUCUGCAGAAGCCGAAGCCUCCUCGAGCCCUGCAACGUCCGCAACACCGUCGUCUUCCUCCUCCGGCCGCCAGACCUCUCCCGUCGAUUCGUCGCCCCCAGGCCUUCCCCGAGCCGUCUGAGCUCUUCUCUGCACCCCCUGUGAGCAUGCGGUGGUUUUCCCUAAGCUUUCCCUGUCGAUCCCCUCCUCUAGCCCUAGUUUCACCGGAGCCCGACGAGCACCGCCGCUGCCGCUCGUCGCCGGUAGCCCUCCGAUGUCUAGCUCGUCCUCCCGAGAGCACCAGCAGCUCCAGGACGACGCGUAGAUGCCGUAGCAGCUAAGAACUAAGCGUGGAUCCCUCUGAUUCAAAGCCCCGACGACGCCCGAGCUUCGGCCUCCGCUCCGGCUCGUCGCCGACGCCUCUUCCGGCGACCCUAGCCUCCCCAGUUGGUCCUGCCAGAUCGGCCACUUCGCGAGCUUGCUGUAGCUGCCAACCGCGUGCGUUUAAGUGCUGUGCAGCGCCGUCUAGGUCGCCUCCGGCGAGCCCUCCGCCGCGGGUUUGGUCGCCGGCGACCACCCUCCGGUGGCCGUCGACGUGGCCGACCAUUAGGGCGUAAUCGCCCUCCCCUCAGUCGCUGACAGAGGGCCCCACGCCUGGUCAAACCCCAAUUAGGGGCUGGUCAACGCGGGAUUAGCCCAGAGAGGCUGACCAGUGGGGCCCCCCCUGUCAGGNNNNNNNNNNCCAAACCCUAAUUAGGUGCUGGUCAGCGCGGGAUUAGCCCAGAGAGGCUGACCAGUGGGGCCCCCCCUGUCAGGUUUGACCUGAACAGGUCGGCUGACCUGCUGACGUCAGCCUGAUGCAAUAAAUGGAAUUUCCAGUAUAAAAAUAAUUCAGGAAAUUGCUAAAAAUUGCAAAAAUCAUAGAAAUUAGUCUGUAACUCCAAUGAAAAUAAUUUAUAUAUGAAAAAGUAUCAGAAAAAUUCAAGGAUUCUGAUUAUGCUAUUUUCAGCUAUGUUUGAAAAAGUUACAGAACCCUAAAUUGUGAAAUAAGGAAUAAUUCAAUUCUUUUAAUCAUUUUAUAAAUGGAAUUUGCAAAAAUAUCCAAAUUUCAUUAUAAAUACAAUGAUCACACACUGCCCUAGAGGUAAAUCAGUACCAUAACAUGACAUUUCAUGCAUGUUAACAUUAGGUUGAUCUGAGCAUCAGGUCGAAUCAAUUAAACCGGUAUCCGAGAAUACCCGUUUGAAUUGCUACUCGAAUGUGAUUCAAAUCAACUCUAAACCUAAAACAUCAUGAUUAUAAUAACUUAUCACUUGCAUUCUCAUGCCAUGGUCAUGCAUCAUUUUGAUUGCAUAUGAUUGUUAUUGAAUGUUGCCAAUCAUUUCGGUAGGCUCCGCACCCCCGGAUUCCACCGAAUAUCCGUUCGACGGAUAUCGUUCCUCCUCUGAGCAACAAGGGAAGCAACCCUUUUGAUCAUCCCGAUAACUCCUAUCUUCUUGCUCCUGCACCUAUUUAUUGCAUUAGGAUCAAAUGCUUCAGCUGCUUUUGCCACGAUAGUUGGACCCACUUCCUUUGCAUGACUUAACCNNNNNNNNNNNNNNNNNNNNNNNNNNNNNNNNNNNNNNNNNNNNNNNNNNNNNNNNNNNNNNNNNNNNNNNNNNNNNNNNNNNNNNNNNNNNNNNNNNNNGCCCACCAGGCGCGGGCCCCCUGGCCGCGCCUGGCAGGCUUGUGGGGCCCACAACGCUCCACCGCCACCAAUCUCAGCUCUAUUUAGUUCGUCUCGCCCGGAAAAAAUCAAGGAUAAGAGUUCAUCGCGUUUCACGAUACGGAGGCACCGCCACCUCCUGUUCUUCAUCUGGAGGGCAGAUUUGGAGUCCGUUCUGGGCUCCGGAGAGGGGAGAUCGUCGCCAUCGUCAUCACCAACCUUCCUUCAUCGCCAAUUCCAUGAUGCUCUUCACCGUUCGUGAGUAAUCUCAUCAUAGGCUUGCUGAACGGUGAUGGGUUGGAUGAUAACUACCUUGUAAUCGAGUUAGUUUUGAUGGGUAUUGAUCCCUAGUAUCCACUAUGUUCUGAGAUUGAUGUUGCUACUACUNNNNNNNNNNCUCACUAGGGUCCGAGUGCCAUGAUUUCAGAUCUGAACCUAUUAUGUUGUCGCCAAUAUAUGUGUGUUCUUGAUCCUAUCUUCCAAGUUAUAGUCACCUACUAUGUGUUAUGACCCGACAACCCUAGAGUGACAAUAGCCGGAACCACUCCCGGAGAUGACCAUAGUAUGAGGAGUUCAUGUAUACACCAAGUGUUAAUGCGUUGCUCCGGUUCUUUAUUAAAAGGAGAACCUUAAUAUCCCAUAGUUUCCAUUAGGACCCCGCUGCCACGGGAGGGAUGGACAAUAGAUUUCAUGCAAGUUCUUUUCCCUAAGCACGUAUGACUACAUACGGAAUACAUGCCUACAUUAGAUUGACGAACUGGANNNNNNNNNNNNNNNNNNNNNNNNNNNNNNNNNNNNNNNNNNNNNNNNNNNNNNNNNNNNNNNNNNNNNNNNNNNNNNNNNNNNNNNNNNNNNNNNNNNNAGACGAACUAAAUAGAGCUGAGAUUGGUGGCGGUGGAGCGUUGUGGGCUCCAUGCUCCACCUCCUCCGCUGAUUCUUGCGCCAAUAUUUUUCAUAAAUUCCAGAAAUAUUCUCCCUAAGUUUUCAGGUCAUUCCAAGAACUUUUAUUUCUGCGCAAAAACAACACCAUGGCAAUUCUGUUGAAAAUAGUGUUAGUCCGGGUUAGUUCCAUUCAAAUCAUGCAAAUUAGAGUACAAAACAAGGGCAAAAGAGUUCGGAAAAGUAGAUACGACGGAGACGUGUCAUGCAGCAAAGUGGCCCAAUCCCUUUUGUAGCAAGGGACAAGCCUGGACGAAGUCUUAUAGGAGGAAAAACGCUCCCGAGGACACACGGGAAUUUCUGUCAUCCUAGUUUUCAUCAUGUUCAUAUGAUUCACGUUCGUUACUUUGAUAGUUUGAUAUGUGGGUGGACCGGUGCUUGGGUACUGCCCUUACUUGGACAAGCAUCCCACUUAUGAUUAACCCCUCUCGCAAGCAUCCGCNNNNNNNNNNNNNNNNNNNNNNNNNNNNNNNNNNNNNNNNNNNNNNNNNNNNNNNNNNNNNNNNNNNNNNNNNNNNNNNNNNNNNNNNNNNNNNNNNNNNAAGCUUAGGAUCCCAAUGUGCUGGAAAAUAUGUACGAUCAGCUCGCUGGAUCCUUAGUCUUCUCCAAAAUGGAUUUGAGGUUGGGAUACCAUCAAAUCAAGAUUAAGAACGGGGACAUUCCAAAAACGGCCUUUGUUACUCGUUAUGGCCAAUAUGAGUACACCGUUAUGUCCUUCGGUUUAACCAAUGCCCCAGCCACCUUCUCUCGACUGAUGAAUUCAAUCUUUAUGGAGUAUUUGGAUAAAUUCGUCAUAGUAUACCUCAAUGAUAUUCUCAUCUACUCCAAGAAUGAACAAGAACAUGCCGAGCAUCUAAGGCUGGUAUUGAUGAAACUUUGAGAGCAUCGCCUUUAUGCCAAAUUUUCAAAAUGUGAAUUCUGGUUACCAGAAGUGACCUAUCUAGGCCACGUAAUCUCUGGUAAGGGUAUUGUUGUCAAUCCCGAGAGAGUUCAAGCUGUCCUUGAUUGGACUCAACCUGAAUCGGUUAAGCAAGUUAGGAGUUUUCUUGGUCUAGCGAGCUAUUGUCGCCGCUUCGUCGAGAAUUUCUCCAAGGUUGCAAAGCCUCUGACUGAACUCCUCAAGAAGGAUAAAAAGUUCGAGUGGACACCACAGUGUGAGCAUAGUUUCCAGAAACUGAAAAGACGCCUGACUUCCGCACCUGUGUUGCUACCACCAGAUUUUUCUAAGGACUUUGUUAUCUAUUGCGACGCCUCGCGACAGGGAUUAGGUUGCAUUCUCAUGCAAGAUCGUCAUGUGAUCGCAUACGCAUCUCGAUAGUUGCGUCCACAUGAGUAUAAUUAUCCCACACAUGACCUUGAGCUUGCAGCUCUGGUCCAUGCACUAAAAACCUGGCGACAUUACCUUUUGGGUAAUCGUUGCGAAAUAUUCACUGAUCACCAAAGUCUGAAAUAUAUCUUCACCCAACCGGAUUUGAAUCUCAGGCAAAGACGGUGGGUUGAGUUGAUCUCGGAUUACGACUUAGGUAUAACUUACACCCCGGGGAAGGCCAAUGUUAUGGCCGAUGCACUAAGUCGUAAAUCUUAUUGUAACAAUUUGAUGCUACAACAAGGUCAACCACUUCUCCAUGAGGACUUUCGGAAGUUGAAUCUUCAUAUUGUUCCUCAAGGAUUCCUUUCUACCCUGGUGGCGAAGCCUACUCUUAAGGAUCAAAUUGUAGCUGGCCAAAAGCGUGACAAGGGUAUAUCACGGAUCAAGGAGAAUAUUUUUAGCGGAAACGCUAAAGAAUUUUCCAUGAAUGAUCAAGGUGUGGUGUUCUUCCAGAAUCGUUUAGUGGUUCCUAAGAACCCACAUCUAAGGCAGUUAAUCCUUAAGGAGGCUCAUGAUUCUCCUCUCACUAUUCAUCCCGGUAGUACUAAGAUGUAUCAGGACCUACGCCAGAGGUUCUGGUGGACUAGGAUGAAGAGAGAAAUUGCUGAGUUCGUUGCUAACUGCGAUGUUUGUCGCCGAGUUAAGGCAGAACAUCAAAGGCCUGCUGGAACCCUUCAACCUUUAGCUAUUCCUGAAUGGAAAUGGGAUAAAGUUAGCAUGGAUUUCAUUACCGGAUUUCCCAAGACCAAGAAAGGAAAUAAUGCUAUCUUUGUGGUCAUUGACCGUCUUUCCAAAGUGGCUCAUUUUCUUCCUGUUCGUGAGAGUAUAACAGCUAGCCAGCUAGCAGAGUUAUAUAUCUCUCGAAUAGUGUCUCUUCAUGGUGUUCCCCUGGAAAUUAACUCAGACCGUGGAAGUAUCUUUACUUCUCGCUUCUGGGAAAGUUUUCAGAAUGCCAUGGGGACUCAAUUAUCUUUUAGCAAUGCUUUCCAUCCCCAGUCAAGUGGUCAAGUAGAAUGAGUGAAUCAAAUCCUAGAAGAUAUGCUCCGAGCUUGUGUUAUUUCGUUCGGUAUGAAUUGGGAGAAGUGCCUUCCAUUCGCCGAAUUCGCUUAUAACAAUAGUUAUCAACCAAGCUUGGGCAAAGCCCCUUUUGAAGUUCUCUAUGGACGAAGAUGUCGAACACCUCUUAAUUGGUCAGAAACCGGAGAGAGGCAACUCUUUGGCCCGGACAUGAUCCAGGAUGCAGAAGAGCAGGUUCGCAUUAUUCGUGAAAAGUUGAAAACAGCCCAGUCUCGUCAAAAGAGCCAAUAUGAUCGUCAUCAUAAGGCUGUGACCUUUGAAGUUGACGAGAAGGCUUAUCUUCGGGUUACACCUUUGAAGGGUACCCAUCGUUUCGGUAUCAAGGGCAAGUUGGCUCCUCGUUACGUUGGACCUUUCCGCAUUCUUGCCAAACGAGGAGAAGUUGCCUACCAGUUGGAACUUCCUCCGCAUCUUUCCAAGGUUCAUGAUGUUUUCCACGUCUCGCAACUCAGGCGUUGCUUUUCGGAUCCUAUCCGUGAAGUGGACCACGAAACGCUUGAUCUACAAGAUAACCUUUCUUACCGAGAAUACCCCGUGCGUAUUCUCGAUCAAGCUGAGCGUACCACUCGACGUCGAAACCUCAAGUUUCUUAAAGUUCAAUGGUCAAAUCAUUCUGAAAAGGAGGCAACUUGGGAAAGAGAGGACCGUCUCCGACUUGAAUAUCCUGCGUUAUUUCCGACGACUUCUAAAUCUCGGGACGAGAUUCUUUUGAGUGGGGGUGAGUUGUCACAUCCCUAACCCUUAACCAAGAUAGCAUUGUGCUCAUGUAUUCUUUGCAUUUGCAUCCAAGAAGUUUCAACAAAAACAACAAAGUGGCAAAGGAAAAACUCAAAAACCCUAGCCACCAUUUCAAUUAAAGGAAAUUUCAACUAGUUCAAAAUCAAUGAACCCAAAAUGGCCUCAUGAAAUGUUCAAACUUUCUGAUAAACCAUGAAAGUAAAUGAGCAUUAGAGAAAACUAUUUUCUUGAUACUUUAAGCAUUUUUAAAUAAAUGCAAAAGCCACUGGUUUCAAAUUUAAAAAUUUGAAAUCAGAAACUAUAAUUUUCCAAAAAUGUUGAAAGUCUUGGAAAUGAGUGGGGAUAUUAUAACAAAUAUUUCACGAGGUCUAAAAUAGUUAUUACUUUUUGUUUUGGAGUUGAAAUAAUUAGCAAAGCAAUAAAUAGCAAAACAGAAAAACAAAAGCAGAAGAAAAAGGAAAAGAGUUACGUGACGCCCAAGCCAGGCCCAGCCCAUCUCGCCGCUCGUCCCCUUCCCCGCGCCAGUAGGCAGCAGGAGGUGGCCGCCGCCUCCUCCGGCGCGGCCACGCACCUGCGUGCCUGCCUGGCCGCCGGUUCGCGCUGGCGACGACGGGGAUAAGCUCCCCAGAGCUUCCCCUAUCCAUUCCUCGCCUCGGUUCUUCCCCUCCUCCCGGAUCCCCUCCUUCUCCCUGCUGCCGCCAUUAGAGCCGAGCUCGAGCUCGAGCUGGCCGUGCCCCUGGCCAUAAGAACCCCUCCCCGAGCAUGCCAUUAGAUCCGCCUCAUCGCCCUGGUCGUCUCUGCAGAAGCCGAAGCCUCCUCGAGCCCUGCAACGUCCGCAACACCGUCGUCUUCCUCCUCCGGCCGCCAGACCUCUCCCGUCGAUUCGUCGCCCCCAGGCCUUCCCCGAGCCGUCUGAGCUCUUCUCUGCACCCCCUGUGAGCAUGCGGUGGUUUUCCCUAAGCUUUCCCUGUCGAUCCCCUCCUCUAGCCCUAGUUUCACCGGAGCCCGACGAGCACCGCCGCUGCCGCUCGUCGCCGGUAGCCCUCCGAUGUCUAGCUCGUCCUCCCGAGAGCACCAGCAGCUCCAGGACGACGCGUAGAUGCCGUAGCAGCUAAGAACUAAGCGUGGAUCCCUCUGAUUCAAAGCCCCGACGACGCCCGAGCUUCGGCCUCCGCUCCGGCUCGUCGCCGACGCCUCUUCCGGCGACCCUAGCCUCCCCAGUUGGUCCUGCCAGAUCGGCCACUUCGCGAGCUUGCUGUAGCUGCCAACCGCGUGCGUUUAAGUGCUGUGCAGCGCCAUCUAGGUCGCCUCCGGCGAGCCCUCCGCCGCGGGUUUGGUCGCCGGCGACCACCCUCCGGUGGCCGUCGACGUGGCCGACCAUUAGGGCGUAAUCGCCCUCCCCUCAGUCGCUGACAGAGGGCCCCACGCCUGGUCAAACCCCAAUUAGGGGCUGGUCAACGCGGGAUUAGCCCAGAGAGGCUGACCAGUGGGGCCCCCCCUGUCAGGUUUGACCUGAACAGGUCGGCUGACCUGCUGACGUCAGCCUGAUGCAAUAAAUGGAAUUUCCAGUAUAAAAAUAAUUCAGGAAAUUGCUAAAAAUUGCAAAAAUCAUAGAAAUUAGUCUGUAACUCCAAUGAAAAUAAUUUAUAUAUGAAAAAGUAUCAGAAAAAUUCAAGGAUUCUGAUUAUGCUAUUUUCAGCUAUGUUUGAAAAAGUUACAGAACCCUAAAUUGUGAAAUAAGGAAUAAUUCAAUUCUUUUAAUCAUUUUAUAAAUGGAAUUUGCAAAAAUAUCCAAAUUUCAUUAUAAAUACAAUGAUCACACACUGCCCUAGAGGUAAAUCAGUACCAUAACAUGACAUUUCAUGCAUGUUAACAUUAGGUUGAUCUGAGCAUCAGGUCGAAUCAAUUAAACCGGUAUCCGAGAAUACCCGUUUGAAUUGCUAUUCGAAUGUGAUUCAAAUCAACUCUAAACCUAAAACAUCAUGAUUAUAAUAACUUAUCACUUGCAUUCUCAUGCCAUGGUCAUGCAUCAUUUUGAUUGCAUAUGAUUGUUAUUGAAUGUUGCCAAUCAUUUCGGUAGGCUCCGCACCCCCGGAUUCCACCGAAUAUCCGUUCGACGGAUAUCGUUCCUCCUCUGAGCAACAAGGCAAGCAACCCUUUUGAUCAUCCCGAUAACUCCUAUGUUCUUGCUCCUGCACCUAUUUAUUGCAUUAGGAUCAAAUGCUUCAACUGCUUUUGCCACGAUAGUUGGACCCACUUCCUUUGCAUGACUUAACCAUGUCACAAUAAAUAGCCGAACCUUGCAACCUAGCAUACCUGGUAUUUGCUUGAGCUAUGAUGUGCCUUAUCCUGCUAUGCAUGCUAUGCUUAGAGUUGUGUAUGGUCUGUCAUCUGGGAGAUGAACAGAAAUGUGGAAUGUGUUCGGUGAGCAAGGGUCGUGUGUUGAACCUGAUUUGGUAAAGGUACCGGUGAAAGGCUGUGUAGGAGUACAUGGCGGGUUGUUUCAUUGGAACCGUCCUUAGGAACUGAGUUCCGUGUAUGUAAUCCAAGACUAGAUACUACCACAUGCUGGGCCCUAAAAUAUGACCCCGCUCGUCCUAUUAAUUGCGUAGUACUCGGUCCAGGAGUUGCAAGUAGUUUCUGGUGUUUAUAGUAAUGCUGGAGGCCGUGCAUGGUGCUGACCUGAGAGGUGGACCGUGAUGCGGUAGGCAGUGGCACGGUGUACCAAGUGGCACCCGGAUGGUGGGCUUGGGAACCCUGCGCACAUCGUUUGAGGUCGUGGCGGAAACCUCGACCGGACUUCCGUACGGGUUACUCUCAGAUAGGCGAUAAACCUGGACUAGGUACUAGUGUGGUUAACAGUCGUGGCCGACUCCCUCGCUGGGCUUCCGCUUGAAGGUUGCCGAGGUGCAUGACGUGCACAUGGCGAUAAGUGGCGGGAGCGUGUGUGACGAAGUACACCCCUGCAGGGUUAUGAUCUAUUCGAAUAGCCGCGUCCGCGGAUAUGGACUACUUGGAGACAUAUGUUGUCCAUAGAUAACUUCAAUGGCUACUCAUAAAAUUGUCAAGAUAAGCGUGAGUGUCGUGGACGGCAUUUCCGUAUGGAGACGGAAUGAUUCCACGAUAGUGUAUUGUUGUGGUGUUAGUGGACUCGUGUGCGAGAAAUCAAGUUGUCAAAACUAAUUUCGAAAAGCAAGUUGUCUAGCCACGAGUCAAAUGCUGGCUUUCCGCAUGAAACCCCACAACACCUUCUUGAUACCUUGCAUGAGUAGUUAGUCAUCCUAAAGACUUGUUGAGUACCUUCGUACUCAUGUUUGCUUAAUAAAUGUUGCAGAGGUUGCUAAUGACCCUAAUGGAGGGUUCUUCGUAGACAUCGACGACGACGAGUAGCUGGUGUCCCAGCUACGAUCUGGCCCUACGUCGGCUCUGUAGUAUAGUCAGGCCAUGUGCCUUCUAGUUGCUCUGUCUGUACCCAGACAGUUUAUAACUCUUCCGCUGGUUUGUAUUUGUAUGACUGCUAUUAUGGGUCGAGAGACCCUUAAUGUGUAAUAUUAUGUGUGUGGCUCUUCCGAGCCUCUUAAAUAAAGCUUGUAUGUUUAUCGUUAUGUUGUGAUGCCAUCGAUGUAUCUAUACAUAUCGGUAUGCCAUGCGUACGUGUGUCUUACUUGAUAUGUAUGGGGUUCGAAUACCUAGUCGUGAACUUUAGUAGUACUCCUUACAAGGAAAUGCCCCUUUGUGAUCCAACGGGCCUUGGUAGUUCGCUACUGCUCCGGACACAUUGGUUGACCGGCAUGUGUCCUUCUUAGCUGCUGUGUCUGUCCUCUUUGGGGAAAUGUCACGCGACGUAAUGGAGUCCUUGUAGCUUGCUACGACUCGUCUACGUUCGUUGAUGACCGACACCUGCUUUGUUGGGUCAUAUAUGUCUGUCCUUGUGCGGAACUGCCACUUUGGUUUAUGACUAGACAUGUCGAUCCGGGUUCUUUGACAUUGGAUUGCUAGCGACACUAUCGCAUACGUGAGUCAAAAGACGCAAACGGUCCCGGCUAAGGUAAGGCUGCAGCCGUGGAGUUAACCGUGCGUGAGACCACAAAGGGAUGCGAUGUGUUACAGGCUGGAUUCCUAUGGCUUAGGAUCGGGGUCCCGACAGCAACUGAGGGGCUCAAAAGCUUCCUUGGGGGACCAGGAGCGCAACAAUGCGACGAACGCAAUCGGAGGGGAUCGGGAACUCGGCGCUCACCGGCCAUGGCGGCGACCGGAGCUCGAAGCUCGCGGGGCGGUGGCUACGGGGCAAAAUCGCGCAUGGGCUAGAGGGGAAAGGUGUAGAAUCUCAUGGAGGUUCCAACUGAUGUGGCAACGAGCUCGGGGAAGGCGUGUGGGCGGCAGAUCAACGACGGCUUCCGGCGGCCAUGGCGGAGAAGAAGAGCUCGAGAGCGGCGAGAGGGAAGAGCAGAGAGAGAGGGGGGGAAUGGAUAGAGGAGGUCGAGGGCAGUCCAGCGGCGCGGGGAUAAGGGAGAGGGGCAAUGAGGCUGGUAGGCAGGAGGCAUGGCGCCCAGGCCGUGCUUGCCCUGUCUUACCUCACCUGUGCCUACUCGCAGAGGUAGGAGACCACUAGAAAGGGCGAGGUGGGCCGGCCUGCUCCUGGGCCUGGUAAGCUCCUCUUCUUUUAUUUUUAUUUUGUUUUCUUUUCUGACUUUUCUGGGAUUUUAAAAUAAUUCAAAUCAUUUUAUAAAAUCCUGAAAAUUUAUUACGUGACAUAAAUGGAUAUAUUAAGUGCCACAUAAAAGUUUCAGAAUUAAUGGAACUAUAUUUUAUAUAUAGCAAAUAUAAUUCCACUUCAACUAAUUGUUUGAUUAAUUCAAAAGUCCAAUAUAAAAUGUUUCUGCUUUUAAAAAUAUUGGUUGGCAAAUUUAUCUCAUCCGAAUAUUUUCACAGAAUAUUUGGAACAUUUUCUUGGAUCAUUUUGAAGCAAUUUUUAUAUUGCCUAUUUUCCAAAAAUUGGUUCCUUAGGCUUGAUCACUUCCGCAUUUCAAAUUCAAAAGAAAAAUAAAAUGCAUGCAUGAAAUGCAAUGACAAACAAGUCUAGAUCUAGGGCUGUGACAUGUGAUAACGAGAGUGCUAUUAAUAUUUCACGCAAUCCCGUUCAACAUUCUCGUACAAAGCAUAUUGAUGUUCGUCACCAUUUCGUUUGUGGUCAUGUUGCUAGAGAAGAUAUUUUGUCGCUUGAGGAAUGAUUUCAACAUUUUGAUGAUACCAAUGUGAUCUACAAACACACAUGGAUGCAUGCAAGGACAUGAUCUUACUUGACUAAUCCUUGAUAUUUCUCAUAUGAUGAAUAUCUCAUAUCUUGGACACAUUGCUGCCUUGUAUUGCAUCUAACCCUUUGUAGAUACUUGGAAAACACUCACUUUACAAAGGUUGCCACCAACUCACAUCUUAAGAAAUCUCACAUGAACCAAGUAUCGACAAUUUUUUUGUCAUGAAAGAAGAAGACAACACCAAUCACACCCUUAGCAAUUCUUUAUCCAAAUUUUCAUUCUUAUCGGUUUGGAUAUAUAAGUUGUUCCUUGCGUGACUAACCCAUAUAGGGAGAUGAACUUGAAAUAAAGAUGGAUUGCCUAAUUAACUCAAACACUUAAGCAUCCACAAAAAGUUCAACUACUUGACAAUGUCAACAAUACAACCCAAAGGUAAGUGUUUACAUCUUAGUGAGGCUUUACUCCAAGUCAUGAGUCAAAGCACCUCCAAAGAUGUGAAUACAUUGAAACGCUUAAAUGAAAAAUGGUAACCCCAUUUUGAGAUUAACGAUGAGUAUGACCUACUAUCAAGUGUUCUCACUUGACCCCUAAAUCAAUAUACUCUAACAUAGGUGACCUAGUCGUUGGCCCCUCCUAGAUAAAGUUCUCUUGUAUUCUAUUCUCUUUCUACCUUGUUCUUCUUUGUACAAGAUUUUCCGUGUUCAUCUCUUUAUUGUUCUUCAUUCAUUUUAAAUAAAAAAGAAACUUCUUCUACUUGACCCUUAUUCCUAUUUUCUGUUUUAAUUUCUGCCUAUGCAAAUUCAUUGCAAAUCUUGUGUGAAUACAUUGCAAAUCCUUGUGAGAACUUAUUGCAAAAUGUGUUGUGAUUGAUAGUUUUUUCUUUAUGUCUUGAACUCGGUCCCACCGGCACACAUAGCACCAGUGCCAUCGAGACUGAUCACACGUUAGCCAUUUCGAGAUAUAUUGCCAUGCAACUUCUAUGAUUACUAUCCACAUGACAUGUGUGUUCAUCGUCAUAUUGUUUUGCAUGAUUAUAUAGAGCUGACAUGAUAUUUAUAGCAAAGCCACCGUUCAUCAUUGUAAUACAUGUUACGCUAGAUCGUUGCAUAUCCUAGUACACUCCGAGAGGCAUUUAUAUAGAGCCAUAUAAUUUCAGUUCAUCGAAUUGCAUUGUAAGUAAAAAAGUGUGAUGGUCAUCAUUAUUAAAGCAUUGUCCUAGUGAGGUAAAGAAUGACGGAGGAUGAUAACUCCUGCAAAAGUUAGUGACGCGGUCCAUGAUAUUGCUCCAAAAAGAAAAAAAGAAAGAAAAAAAAGAGAAAAAUAAAAAAUGAGACAAAAAGAGAGGGGCAAUGCUAUUAUCCUUUUACCACACUUGUGCUUAAAUAUAGCACAAUGUUCUUCGUAUAGAGAGUCUCCAUGAUUUGUCACUUUCAUAUACUAGUGUCAAUUUUACAUUAUAGAACUUGCCUUGUAUAUUCCGAUGACGGGCUUCCUCAAAUGCGCGAGGUCUUCAUGAGCAAGCAAGUUGGAUGCACACCUACAUAGUUUCAAUAGUGAGCUUUCAUACACUUAUAGCUACCGUUCCAUGGAAGUUCCUGCUCCUCCCAUCGAUAUCGAUUGAUAGGCCUCUCCAUUGUCUAUCGAUCUGCCUAGUUGAUGCGAGACUAUUUCCACUUGUCUUCUCUUAUAUCUAUAUCUACCUAUUAUAUUCCACCCGUAGUGCUAAGUUCAUGCCUUAUGCUCAUAUAUUGAGUGAAGUUGAAAAUGUUGAAGCGACGGAAAGUAUCAUAUAAUUGCCUAGUUUGACACCGUGGUGCUCAUGAUUUACACUUAUGUGACGAAUAUGGAGUCAUGCCAUGCAUACAUAAAUCAAUGAGUAGGGAUAACAUUCGUCAAGCAUCCUAUAUUUUGAAGAGUAAUCAUUAUGUUCUACUAUUCAUGGAUUAUUAUGUUGAUACCAAUCACUUCAUCGUUUCUCAAUAUUCAUACCGUAAGAGAUUACAUGAUAAACAUGUUAGGUAGCAUUCAACAUAAAAAGUUCUAUUUUUGUCAUUUACCUACUCGAGGAAGAGCAAGAAUUUAGCUUGGGUACGUUGCUACGUAUCCAAGGUAUCUAUAAUUUUUUGUUGUUUCAUGCUAUUAUAUUAUCGAUCUUGUAUGGUUUCUAUGCCUUCUUAUAACAUUUUGUCAAACUAACCUAUUAACCUAGUGUAAAGUGCGAGUUUCUAUUUUUUCCUAUUUUAUUGUUCCGCGGAAACCAAUACCAAACAAAGUCUAAACGCGACAAAACUUUACUAUGAUUUUUUAUGGACCAAAAGGGACCAUCGAAGCUUCGGGGGAGGCCAGAAGAUGUACGAGAGGGCCACAAGCUCACACGACACGUCCAAGGGUGUGGGUACCACGUGAACUUGUGGGCCCCUCGUAACUCCGUUUGCCUUGAUUCCACUUCUAUAAACUCCUUAAAAUCCGAAGUUCACCAGAGUGAGAACCGAAACAAUUAUUCCGCCGCCGCAAGCCUUUCUUCUUCCGCGAUCCCAUCUGGAGGCAUCAGUUAAUACUCUGCCAGAGGGGAAACCGAUUAUGGAGGGCUUCUUUAUCAACCUUCCCGCCUCCAUGAUGAUGUGUGAGUAGCUCACCACCGACCUAUGGGUCCGUAAUGAUUAGCUACAUCUCUCUCUCUCUCUCUCUCUCAGAUCUUCAAUAGAAUGCUCUCUUUGGAGAUCCAUAUAACGUAAUCUUCUUUUGCGGUGUGUUUGUUGGAAUCUGAUGAAUUAUGAGCUUAUAAUCAUAUUAUUCAUUGAAAGUAAUUGAGUCUUUUCUAAACUUUAUUAUGUGUGGUACUUAUAGCUAUGCAUGCUUUCCGAGCUAUGAGUUUUCUUUGAUCAAGUAGAUGAGUGGGUCAUGAGAGGGGAGUGGUGCAUAGUAAUAGGUUCAAUCUUGCGGUGUCCUCACCUAGUGAUAGAAAGGAUAGAGAGGCAUGUAUUUGUAUUGUUGCUAUUAAGAAGAAAACAACGGGGUUCAAUCAUAUUGCUUGAUUCUAUUCUAUCUAUAUUAUGUCAUCAUACUUCAUGCAUUGCUCUAUUUCUUAUGAACUUAAUAGCUAGAGAGGUAAGCAUAGAAGCGCUCUCGAAGUGGAGUAAUAGUAGUAGAUGUAGGCAGUAUUUGGUCUAUUUGUCACGGACGUAAUGCCUAGGUACUGAUCAUGUCAUGAAUAACAUCAUAACUAUAUGCUUUUCUAUCAAUUUUCCGAUAGUAAUUUUUCUACCCACCGUAUGCUAUGUUCUUGAGAGCGAUGACUUCAGUGAAAACUAUGGCCACCGAGUCUAUUCAAUAUAUUUACUAAAACCCUAAAUACCUUCCUACAAUUUAUUUACUUUUGUUUUACUUUGCAAUUUACAUAUCUACUACUAUCAGAUUUAAACCUUGUAGUUAACGAGUACAAGUGGAUUAACAACCCUCUUGUGUGCAUUGAUUGCAAGUAUUUGCUAUUGUGUGUGUACGUAUUCCCAAAGGUUGUUUGUGUGAUUCUCCUAUUUGUUCGAUAAACAUUGGUUCUUAACUAAGAGAAAUAUUUAUUGCAACUUUACUACAUCACCCCUUCCUCUUCAGGGAAAAAACCAAUGAAUCUAGAAAGUAGCAUGACGCCACAUUCAGGAUGCUUCGGGGGAAACCCUAGGUCCAGGUCUUCUCGGGUUUGAUGAUGACUGCAUUGAAGUUUUACCACAAGGGACAUCAUUUUGGAGCAGGUGCUGAUUGGAGGGGCCCAUAGGUGGAGCGGUGUUACAUCUUUUGCAACGAUGACGGUGGAUCUCGGUGACAUGAAGAAGUGGAGUCUCUACGCCCGAUGCAUGUAGAUGGACUCGCACAGGAGGAUGGCAUUGUCUGGCGUCGUGGUGACGUUGAUGACACAGAAGCUUGGCAAGGUCAGUGCAUUGAUCCCUUCUGAAGAUGGGGCAGUGGAAGACGGCAGCAACAGAGCCUAGAGCAUGCGCUACGUACUGAGCAUCUGCUACAACCGGAUGGUACUCUCCGCUCGCUGACGGGCGGUUAGGGGAGGCCAUCGGACUAGAUGGUGCUUUUGCACAAGGUCAGGCUCUUAAUGAAGCUUGUUGAUAUAUAUAGCAGACACAUGUAGCCAAAUAGGUGGCUUUGGAGGGGGUUUAUGUAUUUAUUUUGUCAUACUUUCUGUUGAAUAAGUUAAUAAAAAUGCUUGUGUGCACUUUUAGGUGUAGAGGCUUGUUGGAUGUCUGUCCCGGUGUUGUGGCUUGGAUGGGGCAUCCGGCUUUAGAUGUUAGGCUUUGGUGCGAUGUCUGUUUGAUAUUUAACCCGAACAUUCGGCAUCCCUUCAUCAAGGGGAUAGGAGUAGCGUCAUGUGUUGCCAAAAUGAUGACCUCAGACUUAUUGAUGUAUUACUUUAUAAGGUCUUGUUAAAUAAUUAAUAAAAUGGCUGCAUGCAUCCUCGAGAUACGGAGGCCGAGGGUACAUCCUUCUUUUCUAAAAAAGAAGGUGCAGAGGCUGGAUGCUUUACGCUAGAAAAGCAUCAUGCAACCAAAUAAAAAAUUCAGAAUGUUGCUUUAUUAGUGCCUAAUGAUGGGAGCAUCCUCCGGUUUUUCCUAUGCUGCGCCGGACGCCCAUUACUUUAUUUUCCCCAGUUUUUUAAUUCUUAGUUUUGCAGCUCUAUUCCUUUGUCAUUCCUAUGGUUCCCUCAAUUCCUACGUUUACUGUUCCUGCGAACCGAAUAAGGCCUAAGCGUUGCGUUGUAGAUGUCCUUAAAUGCAAACGAAUGGAGCUGGUUGUAGCCGUCGUUUUUAUCAACCGAAACAGAAGCCCUUGCUCACAAGUGUCACCAGUCCGUGAAUGAUACUGCUGCGGCUGUCCCUAGCAACUUCUUUCGAUGUGCGACAUCACCAUGCUAAGAUGGGCAAAAAAAUCCGACGAACAAAAAGCCAAACCGAAUAGGCUCAGUUUUGGGUUUUUAAUGCUUUUACAGGAAACUGCGGUUUCUACUUUUAUGCUAACCGAUCUUAAUUUGAUUGCUCCGGUUAUACCAUGCCUAACCGAAAGAAACACCGAGCCCAGGUCAGGAAAUUCAGGACGCAUGAGAGCAUCUACAUCGGGAAGGUCUGCUUUGUAUUUGAUGAUAGAGAAGCAUGAAUAACAUACUGUAAUUACUCCAGAUCCCGAUCUGGGCUCAACUAACAACUCAACUUGUAUCCAUCCACCAAAUCCCGAUAAAGAUCACGCAGCAAGUGUACGUUUACAGUCAGCUAGACAGCUAGUAGUAGAUAUAUAUAGAUGUACAAUCAAUCUCUUCGUCUGACUUGUGCAAAUAUACAAUGAGAUCACGCUCCCCACGAGCUGCCUAAUCGAAAGCAGCGCGUCAUUUCGAAAACACGCAUGCAAGGACAAUUUUUUGGAGUACUUACGUCCAAAGUGUAUAUUCAACCCUAUCUCCUCAUCGCCCAACAAGAAAUAAAUAAGAAUAAUCUCCCACCACAUCGAGAAAUCAGAACACGGACUUGUACGAUGCAAGCUGCACAGGGUACGUCUCUACCUCACGGUAUUCCGUGUACAAUGGAAGGGACAAAAUACUUGGCUUUUUAAACUGAUGAAAAUCGCCGAACAAUAAUCGAUGCACAAUGCGUACAAAUUAAAGCAGCUCACAAGCCAUCAAAGACAAAACAAGCAAACAAAAGAAAUAAGCCAACUAGAUGCAGCUUGGAACUCGAGCCCGGCCCAUCACCGACUAUUUUGGUCAGCACCAGCCAAGCAACGCCGAUAUCGGGGGAGGCACAUUCGUAUUAACGAGCUCCUGCCACUCCGAUUGGUUGAACCUGCGUACAACGCCAUGUGUUACUGCCGCUGAAAGAUGAAAAACAGCCCUUGCCCUAGAUCAAAAGAUGCCGCACUGCCGACAUGCACCCUAUAACUCCGAACGUGCCAUAGGCAAGCGAGGGGAGGGGUCGAGCCAACAGGUAACAUUCUUCGUCUCGUUAGAGCAUCCACAUCUGGAUUUCUCAAACCCUUUUCAAACGAUCGGGCAAGCCGUUUGAUCACAGUCCGGUUAUAAAAAUUCGACCCAGACGAGCCUUUCAAACCGACCUCAAACGUCCGGUCUGACCGAUAACCUCCAUUUCCAAUCCAAAUAUGAUACGGAUAUGGGGGAGUCCGGGCACACCUGCGUGGCCCACACUGGCCCGCAUCGACACCACAUAUAUUCGUCCUCAUCCCUUGGUCGCACCAAACCCAUGUCACUUCACUCCACUCAUCUACACUCCAAUCGCCACCCUAGCUCACCUCCGGCGAUCUUCGGCCUUCUCCGGCAUGGACUUCAGUGGAUCCGACUCUGACUUGUCUGGAUAUGUCGACUGGGAGAGGGGGGGGGUCGUCCCGUGCGGAGUGAAGGAGGCAUUGGCGGUUCGCAUUGCACUCCGCGGCCCCUGCGAGGACAGCGCCCGGCCGACGGGAGGAUCUGUCCGCCGCGACUCCAUAACGUCCGCUCAAAUGGCGCUCGAUUCCUAUGGGGUGGGAUCAUCCGCGCCCGCAUUUUGAAGAAACGCAGUGGCGGAACAAGCUCUCCCUCGCCCGCGAGCAAAAUCGAACGGUCCGUGAAAUGGCCGGACUAACACCGAAGGACGAGAAAGAGGUGAGCGGCAGCGAGGACAGCUCCGGCGACGAGUAGAUCCGGCUCGAUGCUUAUUGCGUCUUUGACCGGUACUUCUGCGACAAGGACGGCAAAGGCGUCGGGAAUGACAAGGGCAGCAGUGGAUGAUCUCCACCAUAGCCAAACAUGCCAAAUUCUGGUUGAUGGAGUAGUCGGACGACGUAUGUGUGUCGAUGUAGUAGUUGAAUGGGUUGUUCAGAUAUGAGAUUGAGGUGUCCGGAUGUAGACUGCAUUAUUACGAAAAAGGCUUUCGCCCCGUUUUAUAGAUAAAGCAACCACCACAACCACAAGGCAGAGAAAGAUACACACGCACACAAGGUACCACAACGUAGAGUACAAAAAGGUUCUGCUGGGAACACAACUCAAUAAGUCGUGAAGAAAAAACGGAAAGACGCGCGGGAGGCGCGUACGUGCGUGAGGCGGAGCGACUAGUCAGGCUCAGGAGGAGGGGGGAGCGGCGGUGCCAAGCGAAGAGCCAUCAUCCUGAGGUCAGUAGUAAGAGUGUUGAUGGCGCCCACGUCCUGCUAAUGGCUAAGUGGCUGUCAGAGCUGCAGAGAACCACACAGUUUGAACACGAUGUUUGUCGCACGUUGAAGAGGCACAUGUUGAAUCCUCGGCUUAUUCCAAACCGUCCAUAGCAUCCAGGCGAGGACCCUCAAUAACAAGCCACCUAAUAUGGCCUCUCGGCGGGGGAGAGGACUGGACCUCGUCAGAUAAGUCUGGAAAGUUGGUGUUACACCAACGGCCUCCCAUGACCCCUUGGAAGCAGCUCCAAAAGAACUGAGCCGACACUCACGAGAAGAAAAUGUGAUUCGAGUCUUCAGCGGUCCCGCAAAGUGGGCAUAGCCCAUCUCAUGGUCCGUUCCGCUUAAGCACCUCAACGACACACGGGACACGACCGCGGAUCCACUGCCACAAAAAGAUUUGAAUCUUCAAGGGAAUCUUGAUCGACUAGAUCAGCACGAAGGGCGCACGUGGGGGUGAGGAAGCUAUGGUCCGAUAUAGAGACUUCGUGGAGAAGCAGCCCGAGGGCUCAAUGUGCCACGAGAUGCGGUCGGUAGGCUCAUCUAGGGCGGAUUCAUGAAGAGCGACGUCCUCCAGAAGCUCUUGCAAGGCUAACUGGUCUGCGGGCCCAAAUGGCCGCCAGAACGCAAGGCGGCCAAGAUCCGUGAGGGCAUCCUCCACCGAGAGUCGAGUAUCCACCGUGAUGGAGAAUAGGGACAGGAAUUGACCCGCAAAGGGUUCCAUACCGGCACAACGGUCAAACCAGAACAGAACGGAUGAGCCGAAACCGACCUCAGUAGAGGUCCUGAGGCAAAAGGCUUCAGGACGGGAAUGUAGACUACAUUAUUUGAGGCAUGACCGGUUAGUGUCCGUGGACGCGCCCGGGCGCGUCCGCGGGUGUUUGAGGGGCCAGAUUUGAGGGUUUCGGCUAUAGAUGCUCUUAUCUGGAUGAAUGGGUAAUUUUUGAAGGAAAUCUGAAACUACCAAGCAUCGUCAUUGCUCUUCGCCACGCCAAACACUAGUGGAAAACAUGGCUUUAGUCUCGGUUCUUAAGGGCCUUUAGUCCUAGUUGUGCGGCCCGGACAAAGCAAUCAGGGCUAAAGCCCCCCUUUUUUAGUCGUGGUCGUGUUACGAACCGGGACUAAAGGGGCUCCACGUGGCCGUUGCGUAGCGCUUAGGCCGGGGGACCUUUAGUCCCGGUCGGUAACACCAAUCGGGGCUGAAAGGAGCGCUCGGGUUUAGAUUUCCUUUUUGAGAUGUUUUGGAGGGUUUAGGUGUUUCAUUUUGUGUUUCUCUUUUCUUUUUUGUGUUUCACUUUUCUUUUUGUGAUUACCAUUCAAUUCUUUUCAGUUAGGUUUUUUUCAUUUUCAUUUUAUGUUUUCCAUUCAAAUCGAUACUAGCUACCAAUAACAAUGAAGGAACCGUUACAUAACAUCGUCAUGAUAUAGAGAAGUGACCUCUUUCUCCGUGCUUGGUCGAAUAUAUGUCAUAUAACAACUCAUCAUCAUCUUAAUCAACUCCUCAUCAUUAUAGUUGUUAUCAUACACUAGCUAGUUAAACAUCUCUUCAUCAUUGUAGGCAAAAUAGUAUAAAAAAGAUGAACUCCUCAUCAUUCUAUUUGUUAUCAUACUGGCAAGUGACCAAGUUAUCACAACUUAGAAACACUAACUACUGCUCUCUCCUAGGUAAAAUAGAAUACAAAAUGUAAACUCCUGCAUCUCCCAUUGAAGAAUACAGAUCAACCUAUCUCCAACUUGUGGCCUAUGCAAGGUAUCGAUAUCGCCUCCAAGUGGUUGCGUAGAUACUUUUAUUGCCUUGCUCCAUCCUUUGAUUUUCACGGUAUCUUCACUUCGAGAUAUUCCGUAUUUACCAGGGUAACCCAUCCAAAGUGGGCAUAAGCUAACCAUUAUCAAAUAACCAUUGAUAAAUAUCCAAUUAGGUAUGGUCUUGGCGGGAGUACUUGUUGAAUAACAUAAGUAAUAAUAACAUAGUUAGCAAACUAGUUUAUCUUAAGAACAAUGUAUGAAAAAGAUGGACUAGUGACGCAAUGGUAAAAAAAUUCUUAGAAAGUUGUCUAAAGUGAUGUUAUAAGGGUUGAACUCGUGCACUAGUGGCACAUAUCCAUGAUAAAUGUUGCCAGUCAUGUUAUAUUUAGCAUGAUAUUGAACAUCGAGCAUAAAUGAGAUCAGAUGAUUUUUUCCAACCAAGUAAGCUCGGAGCCAUAACUGUAGUAGGUCUGAUCUAUUAUCUGUCAUGUAGUUCUUGUAGGAGAGCAUAAGUUUAUAAUUCAAAAUAAAUAAGUUUAGUCAGGAUGAGUACCAAAUAAUUUUCAAUAAUCAAUAUACAUUACGGAACAGAUCUGUUGACAAACGUACCUAGAGGUAGAACUAGAAUGAAGUCAUUCGCAUGCACUCAAACCAGACAGUAGCUCCAAAUUUAUGCCAUGCAAUGUUUCUCUUUUAUAAUUAAAAUACUAAAAGGAUAGGAAUAAUUGAAAAUUCAAAACUUAAUAAAGAUUCAUAGCACCCAAAACACAUACAUAGCCUAUCUCUUACAAAGAUUUCCUUAGGUUUGUCUGAAGUGGGACUUUCCAGCUAUAAGUCUAGAAACUCACUAGAGAGAAAGUGAUGACGGUGAGGCCGUCGGUCACAUCCGAGAGUGGGAUCUUGGGGUAUAAAACUUUUUCUUCACGUGUGUCCCUUACUUAAUGUGCAGUAACCAUGGAUAAUCUUCAUCAUUUAACAGAAUGCUUGGGCGAGUCUUCACUUUGAAGGGAGGAAUUUCAUCAGACUUAUUAUAAUCUUCUGACAUGUAUGUCUUGUCCUCCACUCACACGAUGUUUCUUUUCCCUGAAAGAACUAUGUGGUGCUUUGGCUCAUCGUAUGAUGUAUUCGCUUCCUUAUCUUUUAUUUUUCUUGGUUUAGUCGACAUGUCCUUCACAUAGAAAACCUGCGUCACAUCAUUGGCUAGGACAAAUGGUUCGUCUAUGCCCCCAAGAUUGUUGAGAUCCACUUUUUUCAUUCCGUACUGUGGGUCUACCUUUACCUGCCUCCUGUCAGAUUGACCCAUUCGCACUGAAACAAAGGGACCUUGAAAUCACGUCCAUAGUCAAGUUCCGAUAUCUCCCCUAUGUAACUAUCAUAUGUGUCAUUUUCCUUAUUGGUGUUUGCUGCAUCAAAGUGGACACCACUAUUUUGGUUUGUCCUCUUUUUAUCUUGGACGGUCGUGUAAAAUAUAUUCCCAUUUAUCUCGUACCCUUGGAAGGUCAUUACAGUUGAAGAUGUUGUCCUGACCAAUAAGUACAGCUGAUCUUCGAUAGAUUUGUUAUUGAUGAGAUGUGUUUGCAACCAACCACAAAAAGUCGUCAUGUGUGUAUGUUUAGUCGAGGGGUCAGACUGCUCCGGGUUCUUAGAGCGUACAAUAUCCAUGUGUUCCACGAUAUACGGAGCCAUGAACGUGGAAUUUUGUAGAAUUGUGCAGUGUGCUUGAGUAAAAGAAUGCCCAUCCAUCCUUAUUAUUUCUUUCUUUGCUGACGUGCCUUUUCCACUAAGUCUCCCCUCAUACUGCGAUUGAGCAACACCAAUCGAUUUAAGGUCACGAAAAAAGUCAAUAGAAAACUUAAUAACUUCCUCUGUUCUAUAGCCCUUGGAGAUGCUUCCUUCUGGCCUAGCACAGUUAUGAACAUAUUUCUUUAAGACUCCCAUGAACCUCGCAAAGGGUAACAUAUUAUGAAGAAAUACAGGACCAAGAAUGGUAAUCUCUUGGACUAGGUGAACUAGGACGUGCGUCAUAAUAUUAAAGAAGGAUAGUGGAAACACCAACUCUAAACUAACAAGACAUUGGACCAAAUCAUUCUAUACCCUUGGUAGCAUUUCUGGAUCGAUUACCUUCUAAUAAAUUGCAUUGGGGAAUGCACAUAGCUUCACAAUGGCUAAUCAAACAUUUUCUGGUAGAAGCCCCCCCCCCCAUGCAUCCACAAGCAAUGGCGUCAUAAUCAUGUGGCAGUCAUGAGACUUUAGGUUCUGGAGUUUUUUUUUCUCUGCCAUAUUUAUUACUCCCUUUAUAUUUGACGAGAAACUAAACGGGGCCUUGAUACUGAGCAGACAUUCAAAGAAGAUUUCCUUCUCUUCUUUGGUAAGAGCGUAGCUGGACAAUCUUGAUACAACUUUGGAUGCAUGUCUUCUUUUUUGUUCAUACGUUACUCGUCCUCCCGUGCCUCUGGUGUACCUUUUGUCUUCCCAUACACGCCCAAGAAGCCUAGCAGGUUCACGCAAAUAUUCUUUGUCACGUGCAUCACGUCGAUUACAGAGCAGACCUCUAAUACUUUCCAAUAGGGUAGGUCCCGAAAUAUAGAUUUCUUCUUCCACAUGGGUGCGUGUCUGUCAGUGGCAUUCGGGAUAGAUUGUUCGCUAGGACCCUUUCCAAAGAUUUAUUUUAAAUCCUUGACCAUAUCAAAUAUACCAUCAACAGUAGGGGGACGGGUUCUUCCCGUGAUCUGCUUCACCUUUGAAAUGCUUGCCUUUAUUUCUUAAGGGAUGCAUGCUCGGAAGAAACCGAUGAUGUCCCAGGUACAUGUUCUUCUUACAUUUGUUCAUAUAUAUAUAUAUACUUUUUGUCUCAUAUAAAUGGUGCGUGCAUUCAUUGUAUCCCUUGUUUCUCUCUCCUAAAAGGUUACUAAGAGCUGGCCAAUCAUUGAUGGUUACAAAUAACAAUGCUCGUAGGUCAAAUUCCUACUGGUUGUGCUCCUCCCACACACGUGCACCUUUUAUAUCCCAAAACUGUAGAAGUUCUUCAACUAGUCGCCUUAGGUACAUUGGAUGAGCACUAGCAUCAUAAUGAACUUCUCCGUCAUGCCCAACCAAGGAGGAAUGUUAUAGAUACAUGGAGUCACAUGUCAGGUGCUAUGAUUGUUGUUCUGCUCCCCAAAAGGAUUAAUGUCAUCUUUACUUAUACCAAACCAUAAGUUCCUUGCGUCAUGUGCAAACUCCGACCACUUUCUCUUGAUUUUUCUCCACAGCGACCCAUCAACGGGUACUCUAAACAUCCCAUCUUUCUUAUGGUCUUCUUUGCAAAAACUUGGCAUGCUCUUUGUUUCCAAACAGACGUUUCAGCUGUGGUAUUAUAGGAGCAUACCACAUCACCUUGGCACAAACUAUCUUCCUAGUGCGCUCUCCCUCAACAUCGUCACCAGGGUCAUCGCGUCUGAUCUUAUAUUGCAAUGCACCGUAUAUCGGGCAUGCAUUCAAAUUCUCGUACUCCUCACGGUGGUAGAGGAUGCAGUCAUUAGGGCAUGUAUGUAUCUUCUGCACCUCUAAUCCUAGGGGGCAAAGAACCUUCUUUGCUCCGUACGUACUGUCAGGCAAUUCAUUAUCCUUUGGAAGCUUCUUCUUCAUUAUUUUAAGUAACUUCUAAAAUCCCUUGUCAAAUAAACCAUUCUUUGCCUUCCAUUGCAGCAAUUCUAGUGUGGUACCAAGCUUUGUGUUGCCAUCUUCGUAAUUUGGUUACAAUCGUUUUUUGUGAUCCUCUAACAUGCGAUCGAACUUCAGCUUAUCAUUUUCACUUCCGCAUUCUCUCUGUGCAUCAACAAUGACCCGGCGAAGAUCAUCAGCGGGCACAUCUGGUGCCUCUUGAUCCUCAGCUUCCCCCGUUGCAGUAUCACCGUAUUCAGGAAACAUAGGAUAGUUUUCAUCAUCCUCUUCUUCUUCAUUGUCUUCCAUCAUAACCCCUCUUUCUCCGUGCUUGGUACAAACACUAUAGAUGAGCAUGAAGCUGGACCGGAUCAUGUGGGUGUGAAGGAUUUUCGAGGAAGAGUAAUCCUUCUUAUUCUCACAGUCAAUACAUAAAACGAUUCACACUGUUUGCGUGAGCCACAACGAUAAAAUUAUGCAGGCCCGUAAUGUACUCGGAAGUGUGUCGGUCACCGUACAUCCAUUGUCGGUGCAUCUACAUUAUAUAUAUAAUUAAGUAUAUCAAAAACCAUUACAGAACAUCAUGUAUAGAGAAAUGACCAAAUUAAUACAAGUUAUCACAUUAAAACCAAAGUAGGGUAGUAAUCAAAUGUUAUUACUCCAAAAAUAAAUACAUAAAGUUCAUACAUAGUUCUCAUAAAACAACAUACAACUAACUAAAGCAUCUAAAACAUACAUUGAAACUAACAUACAACUAUGUAAAAUAUUUAAAUGCAACAACAAAUGCGAGCAAAAUCACAACUAAGGUAACAGUUGAUCCAAUAGCAUAAUGAUAUCAAGCCCAUGUAUCAAUGACAUAUUUUCUAAUCUUUCUAAUCUUCAAGCGCAUUGCAUCCAUCUAGAUCCUGUGUAGAUCGACGACAUCGGCAACAUGCAACUCCAAUUUCAUCUUCUCUUCUUCAAUUCUUUUCAAUUUUUCUUUUAAAUAAUUGUUUUCUUUUUCAACUAAAUUUAACCUCUCAACAAGAUGGGCGGUUGGAAUUUUCAGUUCACAUAUCUCCUACGUAAAAAUAUCUAUGUCAAGUUGGUCGGCAUAAUUGUCAUAAACACUAAAUGAAACAAAUAGCUAUAAAAGAUAAUAUAGCACAUCGGAAUCAUAGACCGUACAAAAGCCGACGGAGGAGGAUAUCAAAACCAUGACACUAUAUGAUAACAAACAAUUAUACAAGUAAGAAAAUUAUACAAGUAACUAUAUGUAAAUCAUACAAGUAAGAUUUUUAUAAAAAAGAUAUAAGAAAAAGAGGCUCACCACGAUGGUGCUGGCGACGAGAUCGGCGCGAGCGAUCGACAGCGGUGACGACGAGGACGAGAUCUUGGAGGAAGAAUAGAUGAGAAGAAAGAGGAGAAAGCUUAGGUGUGGCUUGGGCACCUCAUAUCAAUGACAUCAUGCUCUUAGGCAUGUCAUCGAACACCUCUUAUGCAUAAGAAAGGAAACCAAACUAGCACACACCUCCCACCUUCUCUGAGUAAAAAACAAAGCAGAGAGGGGCAGGGACGAGGGGUUAUAUAUAGGCAACUUUUUAGUCCCAAAUGGUGUCCAAAACCGAUACUAAAGAUAGGUCUUUAGUCUCGAUUGGGGACACCAACCGGGACUGAAGGAUGUGGGACCUGCCGCAAUCCCUUUAGUCCCGGUUGGUUUCUUCAACCGAGACUGAUGUCCGUCGAGCCCUGACCGGCGUCCCACCGUUUGCCCGAGACUAAUGCUACCAGGACUAUUACUCCGGUCCGGCUAAAACGGAAGGCAUGUUUUCAACUAAUGAAUAAAACAUGUUGCAAAUGAUGUGUCAUUUAAGAGCAUCUCCAAUAGUUGCUCUAAAAUAGGGCACAAAAAAUAGUUUUAAGUAUCAAAAAAUAUAUUUUAGGGGACCGAAUCUAUUUCUGCACCUAAUUGACCACAUCGUUCGUCUCCACAAUUAGUGACGAAGCCAGGUUUACAAAAGUGGGUGUACAUAAUGCAAGAUAAGUUAUAUUAGUUAAUUUGAAGGAACUAUGAUAUGCAAAAUACACUUGUUAAGCAUGUAUCUACAUGUUCUUACUGUGAAAACCAAAAUUAAUGGGUAUACAUCUAUACACCCAUUUCCUAGUGUAGUUCCGUCCAUGUCCACAAUUGCAUGAAACAAAACAUGAACUAUUGGUAGAAUUUAAACCUUUGCAUCAAUAGUACAAGUAUUAUCCCAAAAGACAUCAAGCAUUCAUUUUUCUUAAUGCAUCUAUGAUAGAAGUAUUUUUCAGAGUUUCAAACAACAACAAUAGCAUCGAGCUCAUAGAUUCAUCAGCUGCAACCAGAACCGAUCAACUACAACAGUUUACCUUGAUCACAACAUCGGGCUAUAGAAUCAAAACGAAAUGGCAUCGUGUAUCAUCCAUUAUAACAUUACUACUACUGGUGUAUGCUAGUACCAUUAAUUGAUCAAUCAAGCACAGCAGUACAGCACGCAUGUUAUCGGCCUGCUAGACAACACCAAAUUUCAUUCGUUAUUGAUGCACAAUUGACCAGCACAUGUUACAUGAUUGAAGUGUACUCCAGGCUCAAAAGAAAACAAAAUACCGUGAACUCGGAUAUUUGUCGUCAUGUGCAGUUGCUUCUUUAGUCAGCAAUGCUUACGUGUCCCAAAUGAUCGCAUGCGCCUGCAUGCACAGUGCACUACUACGUUUCUAAAUAUAAGUCUUUUUUUAUAUUUCACUCUGAAUUAUAUAUAAAUGUAUAUAGAUAAAUUUUAAAGUAUAGAUUCACUCGUUUUACUUCGUGUAUAGCGUAUAGUGUAACUUAUAUUUCGAAACGGAGGGAGUAGUCUACUACACUCGACAGCCAUGAGAAAGCCUUUAGAGCAUCUACAACCACAGACGGCAAAUAUGAUACCUCAAACGUCCACGGACGAACACGUGUGUGGGUGUGAUCGGACACACUGCAAAUUAGUUUCAUUGCAGCCGGACACCUCAUACUAGAUUCUUGUAUUCAUAUAAAAGUAUUGUAAAAUAAAAGGAAAACUACGUACGACAUAGUUGCUCCUCGUCGGAGAUGUCGACUAUCUCUAUGCCCUCCGACAUAUACAUGCGCGGUAGUUGUAGCUCCUCCCACUUCGGCUACUGUGCUUUGGCCUCCUCCGCCGCUAUCUUCACGUCGAGUUUGUCGAAGAGGGCAUCAGCCUCCGCCUACUUCUGACGAAUGCGCUCCUGGUAGGCCUCCAUCUCCACCUCGAUCAUCUUGGAUGGACUUCAGGAUGGCCUGCUGCUCCGCCAUCUACUCGGCUUGGGCGACGGCGAAUUCCGCAACCACCUCAUCCUCCUCCGGAUCUGGCACCUCAAUCGACUCCAAAAGCUGCUCUCCCUCCUCUCCCUCUGGCUGAUCCUCCUCCUCCUUCUCCGGCUCCGGCGAGUCUGGAGGAAGACCUGUAGCGAUGCGGGAGGCGUGCCUAGCCUAGAUCUUCGCCUUGAUUUGCAUCUGACGAUCCCAUGUGAGUAUCGCAUAGGUGGUGACCUUACGCCGGACUAUAUCAACGUCGGAGAGCGUGGGAGAGCGGUGGAGAGGAGGUUGACGGGCUGGAGUGGCACCACAGAGAGGAAUGAGGUGGAUGUGCUAAGGUUGUGGGAUGCCGGACGGCUUAAAUAGUCGGAUUUGGCCUCGGGCGGCUAGCUAGAUUGGCGCCACGUGGCAUUCACACCGCGACAACGGUCGAGGCAUCCGUUAGACCAUCAGGUUUUCGGGCAAGUCCGUGUGAGACCCCACCCUCCGGCCAACGUGACGGGCGUGCCCGGGCGCGCCUAUCUGUCCCAUAUUUUGGCUAGAUAUGAGGGAUGCCGGCCAGCACGGAUAUUUGAGGCCCGUUUAAGGCCCCGGGUUAAUUCAAAAUUUCAUGACCGGGCGGCCUGCCCGAACGUUUGAGACGGAUAUGAUGGUUCCGGUUGGAGAUGCUCUUACUGCAUGGUAAAAUAUACAUCUUCAAAACUAAGAGCAUCUCCAAUAGACGGUCCAUGUGUAAAAAUAACCAACUUUUGGAGCUUCGAGAGCAAAAAACGCUGCUCCAAUAGAUGGUCCAUAUGAACAAAAAUUUACAUCACCACCUCUUGGAGAUGUAAAAUACAACACUUCGUGAUGCAAAUUUGCAUCACGAGAUUGAUAUGAUGUAAAACCGCGUCUGCCCGCGAAACCACCAAUCGCCAGUUCAUUUCAUUUCCCCGCCCGACCGUGACCUGUUCGUUCGCAGCCUCCAUGGCCGAAGUCGACGACCCCGCCGCCUUAUCCACCGUCGCCACAACCAGUGGGCUGACCCAUGUCGCCGCCGCCGUGGGGAAUUCACCCUCCGCGACCGCGUCCAUGCCGGCACCCCUCGCCCAUCGGCCCUAUUGCGCCGUUCCGGCCGAUCGCCACUACGUCGGCGGUUCCUACGAAGGCGACGAAGGCACGAGGCUGAGGCAAACGGUUGGUAAAUCGUGGUCGCAACCUAGCCAAAAGUGCGGCUCGGCAGGCCAAAAUCUCGAAGGCAGCCGCGGCGGCUCGGGCUGAUGAUUCGCACCCAUGGCCAGUGUUGUCCUCCAGCAGCUAAGGAGUCGUUCCUCGACCUUCGCCACCGCCACCGCCAGUCGUGGAGGAAGAUGUGGCCACACCGACAACCACCACCUCCAACAUGUUCGAUGAUAUGUCGCAAAAGUAAAAAAAUCUUUUGUGCUCCCAUUUGUUGUUUCAAAUUGAAUGUGAUGUUGAAUGUUUGUACGUCCAGUUAUAGUCCUGAUGAUGAAGCUGAAAGUACAUGGAUGUCGCAUAGAGGGGGGUGAAUAGGCGCUUUAAAAUAAUUACGGUUUAGGCUUGAACAAAUGUGGAAUAAAACUAACGCUUAAUAUGUCAAGCACAAAACCUAAAACAACUAGGCUGACCUAUGUGCACCAACAACUUAUGCUAAGCAAGAUAAACAACUAAGUGAUAGCAAGAUAUAUGACAAGAAACAAUAUGGCAAUCAUAAAGUAAAUUGCAUAAGUAAAGGGUUCGGGUAAGAGAUAACCGAGGCACGCGGAGACGAUGAUGUAUCCAGAAGUUCACACCCUUGCGGAUGCUAAUCUUCAUUGGAGCGGUGUGAAGGCACAAUGCUCCCCAAGAUGCCACUAAGGCCACCGUAAUCUCCUCACGCCCUCGCACAAUGCAAGAUGACGUGAUUCCACUAAGGGACCCUUGAGGGCGGUCACCGAACCCGUACAAAUGGCAACCCUUGGGGACGAUCACCGGUACCCGUACAAAUUGCUCGGGGCAAUCUCCACAACAUAAUUGGAGACCCCAACGCUUGCCCGGAGCUUUACACCACAAUGAUUGAGCUCCGAAACACCACCAAGCUUCUAGGACACCAAAGCAUCCACGAAGAACAAUCUCUAGGGUACUAAGUACCAAAGGGUAAUAAGCUUCUCAACUUCUCACUUCCACGUAUUACCGUGGAGAACUCAAACCCAUGCACCAAAUGCAAUCGCAAGGGCACACGAAGUGCCCAAGCCCUUUUCUCCCAAAUCCCACCAAAGCAACUAAUGCUAGCGAGGAAAAUGAGAGGAAGAACGAAGAAGAACACGAAGAACCCCAAGAUCUAGACCCAAUGGGUUCCCCUCACUUAGAGGAGAAAGUGAUUGGUGGAAAUGUGGAUCUAGAUCUCCUCUCUCUUUUCCCUCAAGAACUAGCAAGAAUCAUUGGAGGGAUUGAGAGUUAGCAAGCUCGAAGAAGGUCAACAAUGGGGGAAGAACACCAGCUGAAGAGAUGAGGUUCAAUGGGGAAGAAGACCCCCUAUUAUAGGUGGGGGAAAAUCCAACCGUUAUGCUUCACAGCCCGCACGCAGCGGUACUACCGCUCAUGGGAACGGUACUACCGCUCAGUAGGUUCACCAACCAUGCUGAGGCCAAAAAGGAUGCACAAAAAUAGUCCGACAGAGCGGUACUACCGCUGGAUACUGAAACUGUUCUAACAUUCGCAUACGGACUCCGAAUUCAACGAAACCAAGUUUGUUGGAAAGCUAACGACAUGGGCUAACAAAAUCUUGAUAGAAAUAUCAAUAAGAAUCAAGUGAGAAAAGGCCCAUAAGAAAAAUGGUGAUAACUCUUCUUCGAAUAAGACCGGUAAAAACUCCCAACAUCGAAAACAUCAAAGAAGAUGCAUAUGGACUCCGUUUUUGAUGAACUCGAGCUUGUCAUGAAGAUGACCAUAAGCUCUAAAACUCACAAAGAGAAACACCAAACAAGAACCAAGAAGUAUGAUGAAAGGAUGCAAAUGGUUUGAGCUCUCAACGAACGAUACAAUAAAGCUCCUCACUUCAGAGCCCCCCUUGACAGUACGGCAAUCUAUUCUAAAAUAGAAAACCUAUCAAGGGCAAACCUAUACCUUGCACCUCGUCCUCUUGAGCCAGAUGACGAUGAUCUUGGAUUCCUCAAGAUGGACCACCUUUCUUGAUUCCGUUGGCUUGAUGAAGACUAGUUGAUUGCUCCCCCAUACACACUAUGGGUGAGCCGCUCUUCAGCAUAUCUUCACAAGUCCAUUGCCACCAUCCUCCACCACUUGGCAUCAUCCUCCAUGGGUUGUAUGAGAUCUUCCUCUUGACGCAAGCCCAUGGAAACACACCUAACCCCACAUAGAACUCUCACGAAGACCAUGGGUUAGUACACAAAUACGUAAUGGACAAUGCUUACUAUACCAUGGGAUCACUUGAUCCCUCUCGGUACAUCUUGUACGCUUUGUGUGUUUAUCAUCUUGAUUUACUCUUUGUCUGACGAUCUUGAUCAACCUUGUGUCUCUAUGACCAUUCUUUGGAUAAUACCUUGAAUAUCACCUUGGUCAUCAUAUAAACUCCUUGAACCCAACAGAUGGACUUCGAGAAGUGCCUAUGGACAAAUCCUAUAAAUAUAACUUAAGGCAACCAUUAGUCCAUAGGAAUUGUCAUCAAUUACCAAAGCCACAUAUGGAGAGAUAUGCUCUAACACAAGCUUUCAUGCACGCGACAAAUGUGGCAAAUGAUGAUUAUGUGUCACACGAGUAUGUCUCGCAAGAAUAUGAAAGCCAAUAUGGUGAUGACAAUCUUAAACUAGACGAUGAGGGAUUUGUUGCGGAGGGAAGAAGUGAAAAUUAUACCAAUGCGGAGUAUGUGUUGGUAUGCACCGCAUGAAAGAAAGUAUGUCAAGCCCAAGAUGCGACCCUAUCCUCAGUUUGGCACGAAGGCCUCGUCAGGGAUAGAAGCGCCUCUCGUCGUGUCGCAAGAAUGGAUAUCGUUACAAGUACAUGUACUGAAAAGAAGAGAUAUAUAUAUAUAGAAUUGGCUUACACUCGCCACAAGCUACAUCAGAGUCACAUCAGUACAUUACAUAAUCAUCAUGAAGAAGAGCAGGGUCCGACUACGGACGAAAACAAACGACAAAAGAAGAACGACGUCCAUCCUUGCUAUCCCAGGCUGCCGGCCUGGAACCCAUCCUAGAUCGAUGAAGAAGAAGAAGAAGAAGCAACUCCAAAUGAACAAUCAACGCGCUCGCGUCAAGUAACCUUUACCUGUACCUGCAACUGGUGUUGUAGUAAUCUGUGAGCCACAGGGGACUCAGCAAUCUCAUUUCCAAAGGUAUCAAGACUAGCAAAGCUUAAUGGGUGAGACAUGGUUAAGUGGUGAGGUUGUAGCAGCGGCUAAGCAUAUAUUUGGUGGCUAAACCUACGAGUACAAGAAAUAAGAGGGGGAAGAUCUACGCAUAGCGGACGUGAACUACAGAUGAUCAAAUGAAUGAUCCUGAACACCUACCUACGUCAGACGUAACCCCACCGUGUCCUCGAUCGGAGCAGGAGCUCACGAAAGAGAUAGUCACGAUUACGCACACAGUUGGCAAGUUUUAAUUAAGUUAACUUCAAGUUAUCGAGAACCAGUGUUAAACAAAGUUUCCACGUUGCCACAUAACCGCGGGCACGGCUUUUCGAAAGAUUUAACCCUGCAGGGGUGCUCCAACUAGUCCAUCACAAAUUACCACAAGCCGCAUAGAAAUCCUCAAUCACGAAGCUCGCGAUCUCAUCGGAUUCCCUAGUGGAAAUCCUCAACUCUGAGAUUAUCCAAAGCAUCACCGGAAUCCCGAUGCACAAGAUAUCUCAUCAAAGGUAAAACUAAUCCAGCAAGGCCGCCCGGCGUGUCGACGAUCCCGAUAGGAGCCGCGUAUCUCGUUCUCAGGACACGACGGAUGGAACUAGCUACGGGUGCCAAACCUCGAGUUUCCCCGUGGUGGCCCCGCAGGCAGACCGUUUGGGACCAACACCAUCAGCACUGGCCCCCCUGUUUAUGUAAAAUUACUCCUCGGGUUCAUGACACCCUAUGCAUUUCAAUAUUAACAAAAUUAUUAUGUUGGGCAAAUGUAAAACCAAUGUUGGGCCUUGCCGGACCAGCUUUAAUCUAAACGGAAUUAUCAAGGGGGUCCCCAUAACAACCCCGAUCGUGUUAGGAGCACUCGUUUAUGGAACAUAACACCGGUAGCCGAAACUAAGGGGGUAAAGGUGGAACAAAACACCAGGCUAAAAAGGCCGAGCCUCCCCCCUUUACCAAGUAUAUAGGUGCAUUAAAUUAAAUAGCAUUUAAAUAUGGUGAUAUAACAAGGAACCCAUGUUAUCACAUGGAAGCAACUGCACCUGCAACUAGCAACGCUAACAACAUGGUUAAGCAAGCGGUAACAUAGCCAAUCAGUGGUUUGCUAGGUUGAGCAGGUUGAAGGUUUCAUGGCAUUGUUGAGAGGCUGAUAUUUACCAGGUGGUAGGCAACGAGACAUAAUCGAAAGCAUCGAAAUAACUAGCAUGGCAAUGAUAGUAAUGGUAUCUGGGGAAAUGGUCAUCUUGCAUGAGAUCCCGCUUGGAAGAAGAACAACUCAGAGAAGUCGGCGAACCAACGUAGUCGAACGGGUCCUCACAUUCCGACACGCUUGCGGAACUCUAUCGGAACGGAGCAAACCAGAAACAAACAUCAACACAAAUAUUCACCACACGAUGCACAACAUGAUGCACAACCUAAUAUGAUGCAUGAUCAGUUCAAUGAUGCAAGGGAUGGCAUGGCAAUUCACCUCACGCAAACACUACACAUUAAGUGAAGCUCGAUAUGCAACGGGUUGCAUAUCGACGAAACUCCACGAUUAAUUAUUUAAUUGACUCUCGAUUAUUUAACACGCAAUAUUAAAUGUUGUUAACAUGGCAAGGGGUGGAGCGAUGAUCCUACGUGUCAUCCUAGUCAGUUUAACUCGCGGAACUAAGAGCGGAGCUACGGCACAAGAGGCAUGCAACACAAUAUAUCAUGCCAUGAAUGCGACAUGCAUGCAAGUUACAACAUCACGGCAAGAAGAGAAAGAAGCAGGUGUCGCCACGGCGAGCGAGAGGGAACCAUGGCGGCAAAACAGAAACGAUGCCACGGCAACGUUCCUAUCCCGACAACUCGUCGAGAUCUCGUGCCAACGUACUGGGAACGCGUGCGGGAACGUAAAUAAAGAUGGGGUGAUCCCGUAUCUCGGGUUCCCAUGUGUCGAGGCACGACGAAAGAAGACAACGUGCAACGGGCAUACAUACGGUGCAACAAACAUAUAUUCAUACAUCACUUGUACACGGUACACGGCAACGUCUCAACGUUAUACCUUCGAAGCGUGCUAUUCGAAGCGGUUCGGGUCGUAGCGGACCAACGGUCGUCGUGGAAGUCGUGGUCGUCGUGGAAGUAGUCGUACACGCGCCGGUAGUUGAAGUAGUGGUACACGGUCUUCGGCGACGAUUACGGUCUUCACCUCAGUAGUCGAACACGGGUCUUCGGCGACGUCGAGGAAGACGAACUCAUUUCCGGGGUCGUCGAGGACGUCGUGGUGCUCGGUGAAUUUGUCGUCGACCCAUGACAAGCGGGGAUGGUGCUCGUGGUCUUUGGCGACGCAACCAGCGACAGCAAACACAACGCGACAGCAAAGCAACAGCUACAGCAGCAACAACUAAGGCAAUCUAGCAGCUGCUACAACAACUAGCCUAGCAUGCAACUAACAGCAAGGCAAGCUAGACACCACACGGCUACAACAAGAAGGCACGGCAGCAACAUGCUGGCAACACGGCAUGGGUAGCAAGGGCAUCUCCAAGCAGCAGCUAUACGGCACAGCAACCAACAGCACUAGCAGCAACUAGCGGCGGCUAGCAUUAGCAGCAAGCCGCUAGCAAAGCAAACAUUAUAGCGACAAGCAACACAACAUCAACCUCAAUAGCUAACUACAGCGACAGCGGCAGCAGCUUCAGGCAGCAACAGCGACUGGCACCGGCAGCUAAUUCAGCAACGGCGGCAAACGCAUCGCAGCGGCAAACAGCAGCAGCAAACAGCAUGGUGCAGCAGCAGCAUACACAGCAGCAGUAGCUAGCUCCGGCUUGGGCGCGCAGAGGACCAAGGCAGGGCAGCACGACGCGGGGAGGGGCGAGGUCGGCGCGCGGACAGGUGCGGCGGGGCGGCGCGAGCACGGCGCCUGGAGGGGAGGCAAGGCCGUGGGAGGCGAGGCCAUGGCGAGGAGCUCGCGUGGGGAAGGAGGAGGACGGCCACCGGCGAGGCGCGGGGAUAUGGGAGACGGCGACGGUUGGGCACGACGCACCGACGAGCGGCAGCAAUCGGCUAAGCCGGCGGCAGGGCGAGCACCUCGGGCAGGGGAUGGGCACGCGGGGGAGAGGAGGCGCGCAGGGAAGCAGCUGGCGGCGGCUGCAGCAGCUUGAGGCCGGCAAAGGCCAUGGCUUGGGCGAGCUGAGAGGGGAUGGAAUAGAGGGAGAGAAGGGGAUCGAGCCUGGUAGGGGCUUGAGGAAGAAGACGACGCUCGGGGGAGAUGGGGUCUCGAGGAGAGGACGAGGGAGAACCGGGUUGUUCGCUAGGGCAGGGGGAACUCGGGCCGGCCGGCUGGGCCUGGCCAGGCUUGCUCCCUCUCUCCUCUAACUUUUUUUCCUCUUUAAAAACAGAAAAAAACACACAAAAUAAAAUAAAAGGAUUUUAACAAGUACAAAAAAAAUACCCUUUGGCUCCUUUAAAAACCACACUCCAACUAUAAGAAAUAGUUGGGCUUUUCUUUAAAACGAAUAAAAUUAAAACCUUUUGAAGAAUAAAACAAAACCCUUUUUUUACAAACGAAAAAAUACCCCCUUUAUAAAUAAAAUGGGUCUCUUGUUUCAAAAAUAAACAAAAGGAAAAAUAACGAAAAACUAGAGGGGUUGCCCCCACAUUUAAUAAAAGGACAUUUUAAAAGAAGACGAAUUUUUAAACGGGGGCUUAAUGAGUGAAAUCUUUUACGCCACCACAAAAAUAGAAUAAGAGAGGAGAGAAGGUUUACGUCCUCGGUGCAACAGGGUUUGAAGCGGCUCUGUUGCACCCACUCUCGUCACGCUAACGAACAAUGCCACACCCACAAGCACUCACAAGCAACAUCACGGAGCACCAAGCAACACCAACAAAACACAGUUGACAUGAUGCCAUGCAUGAUGCAAUGAUGCAAACUAAAUAACGAUGCAACAAACGAAAAAUAACCACACGACGGAAACGGAAAGAAAGGGGGAUCUUCUGGAACGUCAGUCUCGGGCUGUCACAAAGUCCCUCAAGAUGCAUCUGUUGGAAGUGACCAAACAGUAAACACCUAUUGGCAACGCACCAAGGAUUACUUCGAUGAGCACAACACAAGUGUUCACUUACGUUCGAGCGACUCUCUUCGCCAACAUUGGUCCACCAUCAACGUUGAAUGCCAAAAGUGGGACUGUUGCUUGUCAAAUGUUGCUCGCAUGAACCCAUGUGGUUGCGGUGAUAUUGACUUGGUAAAUAUUUCCUCUUCAUGCGUGCUUUCUCAAAUAUUGGAUUGUUCCACAUUUUGAUGAUGACGUGUUGGUUGUUUUAUUGUAGAAAAUGAUUGCGCAAGGAUUUUUUCAAGAGAGGAACAUGAAAAGCGAGAAGAAGAAGAAAGGAAAAGCUCUCACUUUUCAUCGUUGCUACAAAGAGCUCAAGGAUGAGGAGAAGUAAAAAACUAGAGAGAUUUUUUAUGCUUCGAAGAAGAAGAGUGUGGUGAUUGAGGAUGAAAAAGAUGUCGCCGGUGAGGAGAGAAGGCGCCCACCUCCUCACUCCGCGACAAAAUCUUAUAGGCCCAAUGAAAGCAAGAAAGUGAAGGGAGCUAAGGCCGGAGACAAUGAUCUCAAGGAAGGAUUUGAUGCCAUUGUCAUGGCGAGAAAAGUGUACGCCGAAGAAAAAAGAAUGUUGAAGCUCAAGGAAAUAGAGGAGAAGAGUGAGGCCGAGGCAGCGGCCGAGGAGAAGAGGGCGGCAGCAAAGGAUAUGAAGGUGGACCUAGCUGAGAAAAAGGCCGCGGUCGAGGAGAUGAAGAUGAUUGAGGAGAAGGCACUCAAGUUUAUGUCUAUGGACACAUCUACUCCUGAUCCCAGGGUAAAGGCCUAUGUUAAACUUUGUCGCGGUGAAAUGCUCGUGAAGAAGCAAAUGCUCAUGAGGCAAAUGAUGAUGGGAGGAGGCAUGGGAGGUGCCAUGGGUGGCUACAUGAACAUGAUGGGAGGUGCCAUGGAUGGCUACAUGAACAUGAUGGAAGGUGCCAUGAAUUAUGCAUUUGGCAGAAACAUGGGAGGUGGCUUCGGUGGCAACAUGGAAGGUGGCUUUGGUGGCAUGGGAGGUGGCUUCAGAGGCAAUAUGACCGGCAUGGGGGUGGCUUUGACGGCAACAUGAUGGGUGGCUUCUGUGAUGCUCCCGGCAAGAAGACUUCGCCGCUUCACAAUGUUACCGCGGUUCACAAUGUCGGUAGUGUUGAUGACCAUAAUGAAUGAUAUUCAUGUCCAUUUUAGUUUGCAGGGUGAAAAACUUUGAUUGGGAUGAUGCAUUUUUGGUAGAGGGAUUUGAAACUAUGAUGAUGAUGAUGCAUUUUUGUUAGGAUUUGAAACUAUGAUGACGAUGCACUUUAAUUUGAAAUUUGAAGUGAUAUUUCAAUGCAAAACCGUGGCUAUACAACGGCUGAACAAGCCGCGCGACUCGCGGUCAGUUUUACAUCUUCGUUUGGACCGUCCGUUGGAGUUGCUCUUUUACAUCUUCGUUCUGUUUCAUCUAUUGGAGUUGAGUGUUUUUUUGAAAAUGUAAAAACCAUUUUUUGAUGCUCUAAAUUUUUACAUUCUCGGUUUAAAGCACCAAAAUAUACAUCAUCUAUUAUUGGAGAUGCUCUAACGGUGGUUCUCAGUACGGUCGAAGAUGUCAUGAUUCUCAAUGGCUAACUUUUGAAGAAAAGCUGAACCGAGCAAGCAUCGUCGGCGCGCCAAUAAUUGAAUCAUGCCGCUGUGAAAUGUGAAUAAUGUGUCGCUGAAGCUCCACCUACCGCUGUCUAUCGACCCAUACGGCAAUCAGGGACUCCGGCAGUCCCGCCCGGGCAAACGUGACACACGCGCACCACAAUAAAGUAAGUGAGGUAGAAAGAUUCAAUCUUAGCUACUGACGCUAAAUUUCAAGUUUAAAUAGCUCGGUAGCCGGCAGAGGCUGCAGAUCCGAAAGCGCGAGGACACACGAGCGAGCUACACGAGCAGGAGCACGAGCAGUGCUCGCCCGGGAAAUCUUGUUAUUCGAACCAGAGGCCGUUGCUAGCCGGCAGCACUAGCCAAAGCUCGAGCAGUGAGAGGGAGCUAAGCUAACCAUGUGCAGCCAUGGCCAUGCGCCGACGUGCGUCACCUGCCCGCCCCCGUCGCAGGGGCAGCUCAUCACGGUGCUCAGCAUCGACGGCGGCGGCAUCCGCGGCCUCAUCCCCUCCACCAUCCUCGCCUGCCUCGAGUCCAAGCUCCAGGUACGUCGUCCCUCUGCGCCUCCAUUGUAGUGUUCUCAUUGAAGGCCGUCUUCGUCUUCGUCUUCGUCUUCGUCAUCCUAUAUUGGUUGAUUGAUUGUGAUGUGUGUUGUGUUUGACUUGACAGGAGCUGGACGGGCCGGACGCGCGCAUCGCGGACUACUUCGACGUGAUCGCCGGGACGAGCACCGGCGCGCUGGUCGCGUCCAUGCUGGCGGCCCCCGGCGAGAACAAGCGGCCGCUCUUCCAGGCCAAGGACAUCAACAAGUUUUACCUCGACAACGGGCCCAAGAUAUUCCCACAGAGGAGGUACGUACGCACGCACUCACUCACUCACUCACUCACUCACUCACGCACGUCUUCUUCUCUUCUACUUCCGGCGAACCCUGUCGUCGGCGGCGAUGUCGAUGUUGAUGUCGGCGUUGCUUCACGUGCAGCUGGGGAUUCCUGACCCCAAUCGGGAACCUGUUCGGCGCCGUGAACGGUCCCAAGUACGACGGCAAGUUCCUGCACGACAAGAUCAAGAGCCUCACCCACGACGUCACCAUCGCCCAGACCGUCACCAACAUCAUCGUCCCCACCUUCGACAUCAAGUUCCUGCAACCCGUCAUCUUCAACACGUACGAGGCCAGGGUGGACCCGCUCAAGAACGCGCACCUCUCCGACAUCUGCAUCAGCACCUCCGCCGCGCCCACCUACUUCCCCGCGCACUACUUCACCACCCACGACCCCGCCGGGAACCUCUCCGACCGCGAGUACCACCUCAUCGACGGCGGCGUGGCCGCCAACAACCCCACCAUGGCCGCCAUGUCCAUGAUCACCAAGGAGGUGCUGCGCCGCAACCCCGACUUCACGCACGGCAAGCCCGCCGAUUACAACAACUACCUCAUCAUCUCCAUCGGCACCGGGUCCGCCAAGCAGGCCGAGAAGUACACCGCGCCCGAGUGCGCCAAGUGGGGCGUCCUCCGCUGGCUCUACGACGGCGGCUUCACCCCGCUCAUCGACGUCUUCUCCCAUGCUAGCGCCGACAUGGU
rnacentral:lncRNA from 1 species